rnacentral:lncRNA from 1 species
AUGAAACUGUGAGAUGCACUUGGCAGUGAGGUUUGCAACAUCUACUAAACUUAGGUGCUUAAGGUGCAGGGAAGACACGCCUUCAACAAAGUAAAGAUCAGGGAGACCAUUUAGACGUAAUGAUUCAAGGGAGGUCAGGUGGCCAAUCGAUAAGGAUGGGGAGCUUCUGCAGACAUCAAUUGAAAGAUGUUUCAGAUGUGGCAAGCCAUUAAUGAACGAAUCAGCUGCAAGAAGCGGGAGCGGAAGCGGGAGCUUCUUCGCUGUGGGUCGCCUCCAUCGCCAUGGCAGCCCCCAUGGCCUCCUAGCUCAGGUCCCUUCUCCCCUCGCGCCCCCUGCUCCUGGUCUUCUCGUUUCUUCAAGCAUGGACCUCGCUCUUCUGGACUUUCGGCCGGGAUUGGCCUUCGAGGAUUCCCUCAGGCAUAAUUUGGCUUCUUCGGUUUGUCCUGCUCGACCUCGUCUUCGGUCGUCUUUCUGGCUGGUAGUUUCUUUUGGCAGAUGCAUCUUCAUGUUGAACUCGGAUUCUGUUGGUCACCUUCUCCAGGCUGCCCUUGGUGGGUUCGCGCCUGGUUUUGAGGUGCUUCAGAUCGCUGACCGGGUUUUUCGGUUUUCAGUUUCUUCGAUGGCUGUGAGUUUCCAUAUCUACAAUUCCAGAUGCAUUGAUCGUAAGGAAUUCAGAGCCUUCUUCAACCUUUGGAACCACGGUGGCCCUAACUGGAAACAUGAAUUCAAUAUUUUUUCGGAUGAAGAAGCGGCAUCUUGGCAGCAGGUUCAGGGCAAGAAGAGUUUAUCUUUUGCGGACAUUGUUAAGCUCCCUCUCACCGAUGCUAAUGUUGUCCCGAUUCGUAGCAACAUUAAGUUCGCCGGUGGUCAUGAGCGUCAGGCUCGGGCUAGAUCAUCGGUGUUCAAUCAUUUGGGCUCUCCUCCUGGUAAUCUGGCUCCGGUUCGCAGCGAUAAGAAGCUCCCCGCUGGUGGGUUUCAUCAGUCUCGCCUCAGAACCUCUGCGUUCAAUCGCCUGGGCUUGCCGUCUUCUUCCUCUCGGCGGAGAGCUGUAUCCCCUUGGUUUUCGAGCUCUGCUCCUAUUGGCGAAGUUCAUGGCGGCGGAACUCACGACCGUUCCAAUUUUCAAAAUUCGAAUUUUAACCGGUCUCGGCCUCGUAACCUCCAUUGGCGUCCCGUUCGGGCUCAGGGGCCUGUUGGGCUGUUGGGCCCGUCGACCUUCCACUGUCACUUCUGUAAGGUGCGUGGGCACUUGGAAUUAUUUUGUCCCUCUAAGAAAUCUCCUUUCGGUUUUCCUUUAGCCUCGUUCCUUGCCUUUGGGAGUCGAGCCAUUUUGGUGGGAAAUCGAAAAUCUCCGGACCACAGUACCUGGUUUCGCUCCACCGCGAUGUCUAUGACCGGUGGACCGCCUAGUUACAAUUGCUUCGAGGAGUUCACCCGGGAGGUAUUAAAAAAUCCGAAUCGUCACCUCUCCAGUCCCUGACGCUUUCUUUGGGUGUCACUUCAUCAAAACCCCAAACUGUUCCUUCUCCGUCUGCUGGUUGGCGAUCUUCGCUUCCUGCUCCGAUGGCGUAUAGGCGUGUUGAUCCCGAGCCCUUUCUUCCGCCGAGCUUCAGCGCUACGGUGGUCCUACACCGGGAGGUUAUGGCCAGGUCAGUGACUAGGCGUCUCCCACCUUUGCAUGAGGAUUGGGCCAUUAUCAAUAUUCAACCUUUACCUGAUCAUGAGGCCACUUUCCCGGCGGUGAGGGAUGUGGUCAGAGAAUAUUUGGUGGAGCACCGGCGGCUUGGGGUGCGAGAUAUUCAGCGGUCACACCUGGGUCAGGUUCUAGUUCAGUUUAGGAGUGUGCUUGAAAGAGACAAUCUUGUCUUGCUUGGUCCGCAGCAAUACCUAGAUGCCACCUUCGCUGCUCAGCGGCAUAAUGAUGUCUGGAACCACAGAGCCAUCUUUUUUAAUCGCGAAUGCUGGCUUAUGUUGUUGGGAUUACCACUUGAUUAUCAUUCAUCAGAAUACUUGCAGGCUGCCAUUGGUUCCUUUGGCAGAUUAAUCUUGUGGGAAGAAGACAGACACAAUGUUUACAGAACUAUGCUUAGGGUUCGGGUCACGUCUCUCGAGGAGGUCCCGCAGUUCAUUGUUUUUUCGGAAGCUGAUGGCUUUAUUGGUGAUUCUUGGACAGUUUAGUGUGAAAUCAUUCAGCAAACCUUGCUGGGGGGCCAACCCCAAGAUGAAGAUCCGGUUCCAGUGGCCCCGGAAGAUGGUCAACGGCUCCCCCUCGAGUUCUUUGGUCUGGGUCAACCUGUGCCUGCUGCGGGGUGGGAUCUCAAUUUCCCGCCAGAAGGCAAUGUCCAGGUUCAGCCAACAGACAACAUUCAGGGGGAUUGGGACCAAUGGAUUGUCAAUGACCCACCUGCGCAGCAGCCCCAGCAAGACCUGCCACCUGACGAGCAGCAAGUCAGCAACCCACAUUCGGACCUAUCCUCGGAUAGUUCUUCUGGUCCCAUUCAUGGCGUUCCGGUGCAGAAUGGGCAGAUUCUUGAUGACCUGGAUGUUGUUUGGCCGGUGCUUCACUUUAAUGCCCCUGCCCUCCUUGCUAUGGGUGAUGUUCCUAUGAAUGGGCUGCAGGAGAUUGACGGCCCACCAUUCCAGGGAGACCUCCAUGUGCCGGGGGAUAUUAUUAUCCCUGAUGCUCAGCCUGCGGAGCCUAAUAACAAUGGCCCCAACAAUGUGGUGUUGAACUAUAUGUUCUCUCAGGAUUGGCGGCCAGACCCUGUUCUUCUGAGUCACUCGGAAAGGAAAAGGAAUGCCCAAUUCUACAGGAUCUGGGCCAACUAUUUUGCUCCUGCUGGUAAUCUUGAGCUAACUGUUCAGAUCCCCAAGAAGUGGGCUCCGUUUUUCAUGACCAACCUGCUGCAUAAAGAUUCUUUCAGUUGGUCGAAGUCUUUCUUGUCUUCAGAUAUUCCCUCUGCCUUGCUGGAGCCUGAGUCUGAGACCCACCCUCUUGCCAUCCCCAAGAAAUGCCCUGAUGGCAAGUUCCUUGAAUCUGUUCUCAUGGAUGAAUCUACUGGCAAUGUCUCUGCUACCUCAGACUCGACCUCUUUCUCCUCCAAGCCUACUGUUGUGGAGUCUGACCUGAGGAGAAGCAAGAGACUUCGUGAUGCUCGGGCUGGGUUCAGACAGGGCUCCUAUCAGAAAAAGAACUGUCUGAUGUGUCAACACAAGUUUGAGGGUCCCCCUUCCCUUUCUGCCAAGGCCAUCAGAAGCCUUGGGGAAAGAUUUUGCAACCUGUCAGAGGUGGACCUGUCCGAUAAAGCUCUGAAGAAGAAGAAUAAUCCAUCUAGCUGUGUUGGCCCCAAUAAGCCAGGGAAAAGUGACAAGGAGGAUAAGGAACAAGAUUCCACAGAUGAAGACAACUAACUUGAUGGUGCUGCUCCGGGUGUGAGGAUUUUGCAGGACUUCGCUUCGCCAGGCUUUUUGGCUGUUUCGGCCCUGACGCUUUUGGCUGGUUGUUGUGGUGACAAACUUUGUGAUUUCUGGUUGCGCUGUGUCCUGUGCUAACAGUUACUCUUUUGGCCACCCAGUGAUUGGGUUUGGGUUUAUUUUCGUUGACGAACCUGAUCAUUCCCCCGAUGAAUAGUUACAACGCUGUUACUUUUUCUGAUUGGUCUGUUUUAAGUUUUAAUGUCCGAGGGAUCAAUUCGGUGGUUAAAGGGAAUGGUAUUCAUUGCGCGAUUAGGGAUUCCAGAUGUGAUAUUGUCUGCUUGCAGGAGACAAAGAAGGAAUCGUUUGACAGGGCUGACCUCAAAAAGUUUUGUCCCAAUUUCUUUGAUGCGUUCGCUUUUGUUCCCUCGGUGGGAAAUUCGGGUGGUUUCAUUACUGUUUGGAAUAGCUCAAAGUUGGUGGGCACUGUUAUUUUCUAGAAUGAUUAUGCUCUCUCGGUUGAAUUUUCUGCUAGUUCGUCCAAUGAAUCCUAGAUUGUCACCAAUAUUUACGCGCCUUGUACUCCACAUGGGAAAAUUGAAUUCCUCAACUGGUUCUCCAAUAUAAAUAUGCCCUCGAAAAAACUCUGGCCGAUUGUUGGGGACUUCAAUCUUAUUUGUAGGCCUGAAAACAAAAACAUCGCGGGGGGGGGACCUUAACCUGAUGUUGAAAUUUAAUGAGGCCAUUAGUGAGCUUGAUCUGAUGGAAAUCCCCCUCCAUGGUCUUUCCUUUACUUGGUCGAACAGGUAGAGGGAGCCUCUCCUUCAGAGACUCGAUUGGUUUUUUAUCUCGCAAGAAUGGUCAGUUUCUUACCCGGACACCCACUCGACGACGUUGCCUAGGGAUUUCUCUGACCAUGUUCCUUGUCUGAUUUCUUUCAAGUCAAAGGUCCCCAAGCCUAAGAUCUUUAGGUUCGAAAACUUCUGGCUGCAAUUUGAGGAGUUUAUGACUGUCUUUCAAAAUUCUUGGACUGGUCAGCCAACUCUCUCAGACAAAGAGAAGAACUUAACAACAAAAUUCAAGCACACCAGAAAGACCCUCAAAGAGUGGCAGCGGUCUCUGCCAAAUAUCGAUAAAACAGUUAGGCAAAUUAAGGUGCUUAUUGAGUUCAUUGACAUUAUUGAGGAGCAUCGCGACCUUUCGAUUGAAGAAUGGAAUUUCCGGGAGCUAUUGCAAACCAAAAAUGCUGAUAUGCUUCAAAUUCAGAAAAUUUAUUGGAAGCAACGGGCUUCCAUCAAAUGGGUCACCGAUGGAGAUAUUUGCUCUAGAUUUUUUCAUGCUCAUGCAACAGUAAAGCAUAGGCGUAAUUCAAUUGCGCUACUCUCUGAUGAUAGUGGAUCAAUCUUUUCAGAACACAACCUUAAAGCUAACCUUCUGUGGAAUGUCUUCAAAUGUCGUUUAGGUUCUUCUGACUUUUCGGAAAAUGUUUUUGAUCUCUCAGGUCUGAUAAUGUUGCAAGAGGGCUUGCAUUGGUUGGAUGAGCCUUUCUCAAAGCAAGAAAUUGAUAGCAUUGUUGCAGCUCUCCCCUCGGACAAAUCACCGGGGCCGAAUGGGUUUAAUACCAAUUUUAUCAAAAAGUGUUGGCCGGUCAUUUCUCAGGACUUCUACGACUUAUGUGAGCAAUUUUAUCAUGGGGAUGUAUGUCUUCGAAGUAUUAAUGGUUCUUUUAUUGUUCUGAUUCCGAAGAAGGAAAAUGCUCAAUUAGUGGGAGAUUUUAGACCAAUUUCGCUCCUAAAUAAUAGUAUGAAAAUCAUCACUAAGCUUCUGGCCAAUCGAUUACAGAUAGUGAUGACCUCCCUUGUUCACAAAAAUCAAUAUGGCUUCAUCAAAGGAAGAACCAUUCAGGACUGCUUGGCUUGGACUUUUGAAUAUAUCCAUUUAUGUCAUGUCUCCUAAAAACAGAUCAUCGUGCUCAAGUUGGAUUUUGAAAAGGCCUUUGACACAGUUGAGCAUGAUCUGAUCCUCCAGGUGCUGUCUCACAGAGGAUUUGGGCCCAAAUGGCUGGGCUGGGUUAGGGAUAUCCUCCAGUCUGGCACGUCUUCGGUCCUCCUCAAUGGUGUCCCAGGCAAAACUUUCCAUUGCAAGCGUGGGGUAAGGCAAGGAGACCCCCUCUCACCUCUUUUAUUUGUUCUAGCGGCAGAUCUGCUUCAAAGUAUCAUCAAUAAAGCGAGACAGCAAGGCCUACUCCAGCUGCCCCUCACUGAGAACUGUGGUCAAGAUUUCCCAAUUGUCCAAUAUGCUGAUGACACAUUAUUGAUAUUGGAAGCUUGCCCCAGGCAAUUAUUUUUCCUCAGAGCAGUUCUAAACUCUUUUGCUUCUCGACGGGACUCAAAGUGAAUUAUAAUAAAUCAAGCAUGUACCCAAUCAAUGUUUGCCCAACAAAGUUGGAGAUCCUUGCCAGAACACUCAACUAUCAGACAGGGUCAAUGCCCUUCAUCUACCUUGGUGUCCCUCUAGGCCUGUCAAAACCUAGAAUCUGUCACUUUUUACCGCUUAUCCAAAGGAUUGAAAGGAGAUUGUCAUGUACUUCUGCUCUUCUUUCCCAGGCCGGAAGGUUGGAGUUAGUUAACUCUGUUUUCUCAGCUCUCCCGACUUUCCUGAUGUGCACUCUAAAAAUUCCUGCCGCCACUGUCAAGAUGAUAGAUGUCUUCCGGAGGCAUUGUCUCUGGAGAGGAAAUGAUGUGAACUCAAACAGAUCAGCUCUUGCUGCUUGGUGCAUGAUUACUCAGCCAAAGAGCAAUGGGGGCCUUGGAGUGGUCAGAUUGGAGACGCACAACAAGGCCUUGCUUCUGAAAUUUGUGCACAAGUUCUUCAAUAAUCAUGACUUACCUUGGGUAAACCUUGUUUGGAACAACUAUUACAGGACAGACAGACUCCCUAGUUGUUCAAGGAUUGGCUUCUUUUGGUGGAAAAGUCUGCUUAGUCUAGUCCAAGACUUCAAGGGAUUGGCAGCCCCAACCAUUGGAAAUGGGAGAACUAUUCUUUUCUGGGGAGAUUUGUGGAAUAAGGGCAUCCCGACUCAGCAAUAUCCGUAAUUAUUCUCAUUUGCUUGCAACAGCAAACUCUCUAUCAAAGAAGCUAAGCAAAAAGACCACCUCUUUGAGAUUUUUCAGCUUCCUCUGUCUGAGCAAGCCUAUGAACACUAUCUUGAAUUAAAUGAGGCUUGGGGACAAAUCACGGUGACCGACGCAAAGGACACCUAGAAGCUCAUUUGGGGAUCCGAAAAUUUUUCUAUGAAAAAGACUUACAGGCAUUUGAUGGGUCAGACUCAAGUUCAUCAGAUUUUCAGAUUGCUUUGGAAAAAUAAAUGUCAACCAAAACAUAAAGUCUUUUUUUGGCUAUGGUUAAAAAACAGACUCAACACGAGGAAUAUGCUAAGGAGGAAAAACAUGACACUUGAGUCUUACACCUGUGAGAACUGCAUCUGGCAGAAGGAGGAAACUCUUUAUCAUAUCUUCCUCAAGUGCAACUUCGUGAAGGCUUGCUGGAAUUCAAUCAGUUUGAUGCCCCCUAGAAUUGCUAAUUUAGAGGAGGCUGCGGCAAAUCUAAAACAACAACUCAAUGUUCCCUUCUCUAUGGAGAUCAUUAUUCUCAUGACCUGGAGCAUUUGGAAGUGCCGUAAUGCUUGGCUUUUUCAGAACAAAGAUCCAACGGUGCAGCAAUGCAAGCAUGAGUUCUCAAAAGAAUUACUCCUGGUCACUCAUAGGGCUUUGGGUAGAUUCGAUUCUGCCAUCCCAAAAUGGGUUCAACAAUGGCAGUAGAAACUCUCCAUAACCUUCUAUAUUUCGUCUACUUAUUUGUUCUGAACAAUAUUUCCUUUCUAGUUUAAAUAAAUUUUUCAGUAGGGGUCCCCCCUCCUGUUCUCUAAAAAAAAUCAGCUGCAAGAAUGCAGCCACGGAUGCUGAGAUCGCUAGCAAGGUUCAACGAUGUUAGUUCUACUCCACGUGCUAGCUCUAAAGAAGGACAAUCCCAACAGUUAAAACAGGAAAGAGAUGGAGCAGCACGUAAGCCCCCCCAGUGAUUUGAGACACAAACAACCUAUUACAAUCAAUAUGACAAGCUUUGUCAAAUGCUCAAACACCUUUUCGGAUGGAAGUGUAGUUAAUGCCAUAUUAUAUUCCAAUUGUAAAGUUCUCAGUCAAGUGAGGCCACCAAGGCAAAUAGCUAAAGCUUCAUCUGUAAUACUGCAUGAAGAAAGAGAAAGUUCACAGAGUCCUGACGAUAGAACCAAUGGCAUCUCCAUGGUCCUUCCAUAAAUGAAUCUUAUCCUCUGCUCAUGGCAAAAGAGCCAUGCCUUGAUGAUGUUUUCUUUCAUCCAUACUUUAUCUUCUCUUUCCAACAGACCACUUUAAAUAAUUUGAAGAUGCCUUGAUAUAUCAUCAUCCAUCAUCAAUGUCAUCAACUGCUUUAGAGAUGAAUAGUCUAUCCACAGUACAAUCCUAACUUCUUUUCCUGAAUCCACCUCCCACAUCAAUGCAAGUUUAGAUGCCAGGUCGUCGGCCUUCAUUAUUAUAUUUUCCCUCAAGUCAUGCUGUCGCAACUCAUAGCCUUGCUUCUUCUGUACAGAAAAGACAUAAAUGUGUUGUAGCGACGUUAACUUACCUAUAUUCAGAAUUUGGCAAAUAGGCUUUUUAUUGAUGAAAUCAUGAGCAGACUCAUAGUACGCUCCUAGAUGUCGUAGCUUUCUUAAAUUGCAUAGUUUGUCAGGCAAAUUAUCCACCAUGUGGUUUAACCAAAGUAAUUGUAAGUGGUAGAGAGUACAUAAUGAUGUAGGCAAUUCAGAAACUAACGUCCUGAUGAGGUUCAAAUACCGGAGGUGCUUCAGCUCACCAAUAGAUUUUGGCAACUUGCUGCUGUUGUAAAAUGACAGAGACAAUACAUGCAGUUUUCUUUGGUUCCGUAGCAUGCCAUCAAAAAUAUCACUUGGGCCAUCCAUUAGCAGAUCGAUGCAGAUAAUAGUGCGUAAAUGAUACAGCUUGCAGAUAAUUUGCUUAUGCUUUUGCAUACUUUGAACAUGAACAAAUAGAUGUCGAACAGUGCAUGGUAUUUCUGUCACAUUAUCAUCUUCUAAUCUGAAGCAGUCAUCUCUAGAGAGUGGCUCUGCAAAAUCAUGAAGGAUAUCAUGCAUUACAUAGUACGAAUCACAAUGCAUCUGAGAAACCAAUUGGAAGAAAGAUACAGAGACCAUAUCAUUGAAGUAAUCCAUCCCAACCUCUUCUAACGUUCUCCUACUCAAAUUGCAUGAACCAACAAAUCCUUCUCCCACCCAAAGGUGAACCAACUCUUCAGGUCUAUAUCCCUGACCUUUUUGAAACAAGCUGCAAUACAAGAAGCACCUCUGCAGACGUGGAUCUAACUUCUCGUAACUCCACAACAGAGAUGUGAAGGGAUCACUUAAAUCUCCAAGCUUUAGAGCAGCUUUCCAUUCAGCAAUAUCCUUUUUCCUGCACAAUCGAGAACCCAUAACUUUUGUUGCCAAAGGACAUUGUCCAAGCCUUUUAGCAAUCUCCUCUACAGUGUCUUCUAGCUUCGUGCAUAACAGUUGGUCUUUGAUUUCUGCUCCAGAGAAAGCAUGGUGUUUAAAAAGAGCCAAAAACUCAGUAUCAUCCAUGUUUUCCAAAUGAAUGACAUGUUCUUGUUCACAACAAAUAGCAGCAGGAAGUGUUUUACUUUGAGAAGUCACCAAAACUUUGCUCCCUGACUGUUUAGAGACUAAUGGAGCAAGGAAUAACUCCCACUCUGUCUCAUUAUGAGAUUUUUCAAACCAAACAUCAUCCAAGACAAGCAGGAAUUUCUGUGACUCUUGUAGUAUAUCACGUAAUUUGCACUGGAGAGUAUCGAGAUUUAGAUAGAACUAAAAUUGAUAAAAUCAAUGAAUUAAUUGAUGCUUUGAAUGACAAGAAUAGAUUGUUAGAAAAGCAAGAGGAUCUUUUGUAUGAAGAGCAUGAUAAAUUUGUAGAUGUCCAAAAAUCUCUUUCUUUAGAAGUUAAAAGGAAUGAAAUGUUUUCUUGUGAAUUAUCUACUUGACAUGGGACUAUUUCUAGUUUAAAAAGUGUUAAUGGUGAUUUAAAUGCUAAGCUAGAAGUAUCAAAUAGAUCUAGUUCUUGUGUAGAACAUGUAGUGAUUUGCAAUAGGUGUAAGGACUUUAAUGUUGAUGCAUGUGUUGAGCACCUUACUUCUAUUGCAAAACUAAAUGGUGAAGUGGCUAGUCUUAAUGCCCAACUUAAGACUAGGAAAAAUGAAUUUGAUAAACUAAAAUUUGCAAGGGAUGCCUACACUGUUGGUAGACACCCCUCAAUUAAGGAUGGGCUUGGCUUUAAGAGGGAAGCCAAGAACUUAACAAGUCAUAAGGCUCCCAUCUCCGCCAAGGAGAAAGGGAAGGCCCCUAUGGCUAAUAGUGUUCAAAAGAAUCAUGCUUUCAUUUAUAGUGAUAAAAAAUUCUCUAGAAAUGCUUAUAGGAAUUAUUCUUAUGAUUCAUAUGCUAUGCCUGCUUCUAGUUCUUCUAUUGUGCAUGAUAUGCCUAGGAAAAAUGUUAUUCAUCAUAUGCCUAGGAGAAAUGUUGUUCAUGUACCUAGGAAAGCAAGUAAUGAACCUUCUACAAUUUAUCAUGCUUGCAAUGCUUCCUUUGCAAUUUGUAGAAAGGAUAAGAAAGUGAUUGCUAGGAAAUUAGGGGCAAAAUGCAAGGGAGAUAAAACUUGCAUUUGGGUCCCUAAGGCUAUUGUCACUAACCUUGCAGGACCCAACAAGAGUUGGUUACCUAAGACCCAAGCCUAAAUUUGCCUUGCAGGUUUAUGCAUCCGGGGGCUCAAGCUGGAUUAUCGACAGCGGAUGCACAAACCACAUGACGGGGGAGAAGAAGAUGUUCACCUCCUACGUCAAGAACAAGGAUUCCCAAGAUUCAAUCAUAUUCGGUGAUGGGAACCAAGGCAAGGUUAAAGGACUAGGAAAAAUAGCAAUUUCAUCUGAGCAUUCCAUUUCUAAUGUGUUUUUAGUAGAAUCGCUCGGAUAUAACUUGUUGUCCGUUAGUCAAUUAUGUAAUAUAGGGUAUAAUUGCUUAUUUACAAAUGUAGAUGUGUCUGUCUUUAGAAGGAGUGAUGGUUCAUUAGCUUUUAAGGGUGUACUAGACGGCAAACUCUAUUUAGUUGAUUUUGCAAAGGAGGAGGCCGAUCUAGAUGCAUGUUUAAUUGCUAAGACUAGCAUGGGCUGGCUAUGACAUCGCCGUCUAGCACAUGUGGGGAUGAAGAACCUUCACAAACUUCUAAAGGGAGAACAUGUGUUAGGACUAACAAAUGUGACUUUCGAAAAAGAUAGACCUUGUGCAGCUUGUCAAGCAGGUAAACAGGUGGGAAGUGCUCAUCACAGCAAGAAUGUAAUGACCACAUCAAGACCUCUGGAGUUACUUCAUAUGGACCUCUUCGGACCCGUCGCAUACCUAAGCAUAGGAGGAAGUAAGUAUGGUCUUGUUAUAGUUGAUGAUUUUUCCCGCUUCACUUGGGUAUUCUUUUUGCAGGAUAAAACAGAAACCCAAGAGACCCUCAAGCGCUUCCUAAGAAGAGCUCAAAAUGAGUUUGAGCUCAAGGUGAAGAAGAUAAGGAGCGACAACGGGUCUGAGUUCAAGAACCUUCAAGUGGAGGAGUACCUUGAGGAGGAAGGAAUCAAGCAUGAAUUCUUCGCUCCUUACACACCACAGCAAAAUGGUGUGGUAGAGAGGAAGAAUAGGACGCUCAUUGACAUGGCAAGGACGAUGCUUGGAGAGUUCAAGACCCCCGAGCGGUUUUGGCCGGAAGCCGUGAACAUGGCCUGCCACGCCAUAAACCGGGUCUACCUUCAUCACCUCCUCAAGAAGACGUCGUACGAACUCCUAACCGGUAACAAACCCAAUGUGUCAUAUUUUCGUGUUUUUGGGAGCAAAUGUUAUAUUCUAGUAAAGAAAGGUAGAAAUUCUAAGUUUGCUCCCAAAGCUGUAGAAGGGUUUUUGUUAGGUUAUGACUCAAAUACAAAGGUGUAUAGGGUCUUCAACAAAUCAUCGGGUUUGGUUGAAGUCUCUAGCGACGUUGUAUUUGAUGAGACUAAUGGCUCUCCAAGAGAGCAAGUUGUUGAUCUUGAUGAUGUAGAUGAAGAGGACGUUCCAACAACCGCAAUACGCACCAUGGCAAUUGGAGAUGUGCGGCCACAGGAACAAAAGGAGCAAGAUCAACCUUCUUCCUCAACAAUGGUGCAACCCCCAACUCAAGACGAUGAACAGGUUCAUCAAGAAGAGGCGUGUGAUCAAGGGGGAGCACAAGAUGAUCAUGUUAUGGAGGAAGAAGCACAACAUGCCCCUUCAACUCAAGUUCGAGCGACGAUUCAAAGGAAUCAUCCCGUCGACCAGAUAUUGGGUGAUAUUAGCAAGGGAGUAACUACUCGCUCUAGAUUAGUUAAUUUUUGUGAGCAUUACUCUUUUGUCUCUUCUAUUGAGCCUUUCAGGGUAGAAGAGGCCUUGCUAGAUCCGGACUCGGUGUUGGCCAUGCAGGAGGAGCUCAACAAUUUCAAGAGAAAUGAAGUUUGGACACUGGUGCCACAUCCCAAGCAAAACUUUGUGGGAACCAAGUGGGUGUUCCGCAACAAACAGGAUGAGCACGGGGUGGUGACAAGGAACAAGGCACGACUUGUGGCAAAAGGUUAUGCCCAAGUCGCAGGUUUGGACUUUGAGGAGACUUUUGCUCCUGUGGCUAGGCUAGAGUCAAUUCGCAUAUUGUUAGCCUAUGCCGCUCACCAUUCUUUCAGAUUGUUCCAAAUGGAUGUAAAGAGCGCUUUCCUCAACGGGCCAAUCAAGGAGGAGGUGUACGUAGAGCAACCCCCUGGCUUUGAGGAUGAAUGGUACCCCGAUCAUGUGUGUAAGCUCUCUAAGGCGCUCUAUGGACUUAAGCAAGCCCCGAGAGCAUGGUAUGAAUGCCUUAGAGACUUUUUAAUUGCUAAUGCUUUCAAGGUUGGGAAAGCCGAUCCAACUUUAUUUACUAAGACUUGUGAUGGUGACUUAUUUAUGUGCCAAAUUUAUGUCGAUGACAUAAUAUUUGGUUCUACUAACCAAAAGUCUUGUGAAGAGUUUAGCAGGGUGAUGACUCAAAAGUUUGAAAUGUCGAUGAUGGGCGAGUUGAACUACUUCCUUGGGUUCCAAGUGAAGCAACUUAAAGAUGACACUUUCAUCUCCCAAAUGAAGUACACGCAAGACUUGAUCAAGCGGUUUGGGAUGAAGGACGCCAAACCCGCUAAAACUCCAAUGGGAACUGUCGGCGUUUCGAGACCGGGGGGUCCCUAAGCCGAUGAGUGAAUGUCGCCGCGUGCCCCAGCCCAGAUGGGUCGACGCGAGGCCGAGCGCGAAGGGGGGAAGUGAGGUGGCCGGAGAUGGGCGUGAGAGAGGUGGAAAUCCCGCGGCCUUCGUGUUCGUCCCACGCCCAGGUCGGGUGCGCUUGCAGUAGGGAGUUACAAGCGUCCACGCAGGGGAGGGAGCGAGCGGCCUCACGCGAGCGCCUGUCUCGUCCUCGUCCCCGCGCGGCCAACCCUCUCUAAGAGGGCCAUGGUCCUUCCUUUUAUAGGCGUAAGGAGAGGAUCCAGGUGUACAAUGGGGGUGUAGCGGAGUGCUACGUGUCUAGCGGGGGAGAGCUAGCGCCCUAAGUACAUGCCGAUGUGGCAGCCGGAGAGAUUUUGGCACCCAGCUGGUGUGAUGUCGUGGCCGUCGGAGGAGCGACGGAGCCUGGCGGAGGGACAGCUGUCGGAGCGGUUGAGUCCUUGCUCACGUCCUCCUGCUUUCGUAAGAGAGCUGAGAGCCGCCGUCGUCACAGAGCAUGCGGGGCGCCAUCAUUGCCUAUCUGGCGGAGCUAGCCAGAUGAGACACCGGUCUUGUUCUCUGCGGCCCGAGUCAGCUCGGGGUAGGGUGAUGAUGGCGCUUCCUGUUGACGUGGCUGGCCUGCACCCUAGGUUGGGCGAUGUGGAGGCUCCUCCGAAGCCGAGGUCGAGUCUGUCUUCCAUGGCCGAGGCCGAGUCUGAGCCCCUGGGUCGGGCGAGGCGGGGGUCGUCGGCAGAGGCCAGGGCGGAGUCCGAGCCCUAGGGUCGGGCGAAGCGGAGUUCGUCGUCUUCCGGGACUGAGCCCGAGUCCGAGCCCUGGGUCGGGCGGAGCGGAGUUCGCCGUCUUCCGGGACUUAACCCGAGUCCGAGCCCUGGGUCGGGCGGAGCGGAGUUCGUCGUCUUCUGGGACUUAGCCCGAGUCCGAGCCCUGGGGUCGGGCGGAGCGGAGUUCGUCGUCUUCUGGGACUUAGCCCGAGUCUGAGCCCUGGGUCGGGCGGAGCGGAGUUCACCGUCUUCUGAGACUUAGCCCGAGUCCGAGCCCUAGGUCGGGCGAAGCGGAGCUUCCUAUGGUGCCUUUGGCAGGACCUGACUGCUUGUCAGUCUCAUUCUGUCAAGUGGCACUGCAGUCGGAGUGGCGCAGGCGGCGCUGUCCUUCUGUCAGGCCGGUCAGUGGAGCGGUGAAGUGACGGCGGUCACUUCGGCUCUGCCGGGGGGCGUGCGUCAGGAUAAAGGUGUCAGGCCACCUUUGCGUUAAAUGCUCCUGCGAUUCGGUCGGUUGGUGCGGCGAUUUGGUCAGGGUUACUUCUUAGCGAAGGCAGGGCCUCGGGCGAGCCGGAGAUGUGUCCGCCGUUGGAGGGGGGCCUCGGGCGAGACGGAAACCCUCCGGGGUCGGCUGCCCUUGUCCGAGGCUAGGCUCGGGCGAGGCAUGAUCGAGUCGCUCGAAUGGACUGAUCCCUGACUUAAUCGCACCCAUCAGGCCUUUGCAGCUUUAUGCUGAUGGGGGUUACCAGCUGAGAAUUAGGAGUCUUGAGGGUACCCCUAAUUAUGGUCCCCGACAGUAGCCCCCGAGCCUCGAAGGGAGUGUUAGCACUCGCUUGGAGGCUUUUGUCACACUUUUUUGCAAGGGGACCAGCCUUUCUCGGUUGCAUUUUGUUCCGGUGGGUGCGCGCGAGCGCACCCGCCGGGUGUAGCCCCCGAGGCCUCGGAGGAGUGGUUUCACUCCUUCGAGGUCUUAAUGCCUUGCGUAAUGCUUAGGCUGGUCUGGUUGUUCCCUCAUGCGUAUUGGCCGUAGCCCGGGUGUACGGUCGGGGCCCAAGUUCUCGGGCUGGUAUGUUGACGCUGUCAACGGUUCGGCCGGAGCCGGGUUUGCGAGAGCAGCCCCCGAGCCUCCGCACAGGGCGAGAGGGCGAUCAGGGACAGACUCGGCUUUUUUACAUACGCCCCUGCGUCGCCUUUCCGCAAGGAGGAGGGGGGAAAGCGCCAUGUUACCCUCGAUGGGCGCCGAACAUGGUGUCUCCGGUGAGCUGCAAGCGGGUAAUCCGAGUGGACGUCCGUGCCCCGUUCGUUAGGGGUCGGCUAGGGGCCCAGAGGCACGCCCAAAAGUACCUGCGGGUGAUCUGCCGGACCCGGUCCCCUGGCGACGGGGUCCGAGGGCUCGAUGCUUCCCUCUGAUGGGAUUCUGUUACAAGAUCGCUCCCGCUGGUCUCGGAAAUGUCCUAGGGUACCUCGGGAGCGCAGCCCGAGCCUCGGUUAUGUAUCGAACGUACCCCUGGUCAUCCCUCGCUCGGCGUCUGAGGCGGCUGUGAACCCUUCGGGGGCCAGCCUUCGAACCCCUGAUCAGUAAUGGGCGCGAAGCCCGAGUAGCCUGAGGCGGCCGUGGAACCCUUCGGGGGGCCGGCCUUCGAACCUCUGACCAGUAGUGGGUGUAGGGCCCACGCGAUCUGAGGCGGCUGUUGAAACCCUUCGGGGGGCCAGCCUUCGAACCUCUGAUCAGUAAGGAGGCUCGGAGCCUGGUUCCUUCAUGGGGAAGGAUCCUUUUCGGGGUAUCCCCCUUUCCCGGUCCCUGUUGCAAGAGAUAGAGAAAGAGGAAAAAAGGAAAAGGAUACAAAAUCGAACGAUGCGGCGUACCUUUUUUGGCGCGGUUAUUACGGCGAAGGCGAAGCGUCGCCCGCUUCUCCUGCCAGAAGCGACGCAUGUCCUGCCGCGGAGUUAAUGCGAAGGGGCGAGUGGUUGGCGGGGCGGCCGUUGCGCGUGCGCGAGCCGUGCGAGGAACGGAUCACGGGCGCGUUGUCUUCACGCCGUGAGAGGGGGUUCUCUUGCUGCCCCGGACGGGACGUGAGCUCGGCUGACGACGUGACCGCUGCUCCCGCCCGCCUGCCACCGUCAUUACUGCCGGCCCACUUUUGGCCGCAUUGACCGCCGCGUCAGGCCGGCGCUGCUGGGUCGUGCGCUGGGUCGCCUCGAGUCGCGGUAUUGGUUCCGCAAUCGAGGAGGCGCGGUGGUGGCGCAAGUGGCGGUGCAGUUGCUUGCAUGUAGCAUCCGGCGCGCCGGUUGCGUGACGCGUGGGCCUGGGCCUCUAUGCUGGCGCGCCGGGAGUCGGAGAGGCGCGUCCACUUGGCGCGGUUGCAUGCCGCCUGCAUGGCUGCCCGCCUCUUUCGCCCGUUGGUCUGGGCAAAAGUGGAGGGUCACUUGUAACCGCUGGGUGGUUGUGUGCACCACGCGCGGCGGUUUGGCUUCUUCUGCUCUGAGCCGGUUUGCAUGACAUGCGGGACCCAGCCCCCGCGCCACAGGGGAGGGCCUUGGAGCGUGUUGGAGAAGAUUCAGCCCGUGACGGUUGGGGGCGCAAGUGGGGAGAGUUGCCUUUAAAAGGAGGGCGACCCCGUUCGGAAGGCGACCAUGUCCUCUCGCUCCCUUAUGCAUCGCGUCUUUCCACCUUCCAAGCCCCCGGAUGGGGGAUACCCGCCGUCUUUUCGCCUCAUUGUUGGAGGAACGCAACUCCGUGGGAGUUGGUACCUUUCAGCCAUCGUUCGGCUUCAAGGAUUUUCAUCAUGCAGCCCGGCUGCACCCCUCCACCGGCGGUCACCCAAGAUGGUGACCUCCAGCUUGAUGGUGGGGGAAAGCGAGCCGGGCUGCGGCCUCUGCCCCUCCCUCAGCCUCAAGGAUUUUCAUCACCAGGGCUGGGGAGGGGAGUGUGCCAAGUUGGGGUCGGCCCCUGCGUGGGCGGCGGCCCGCUCCUUCACUCAGUGAUGGGAGGGAAGGGCGGUUGUCGUCCGUGGCGCCGGCAGCUGCACCGUGCCUGGCUCUCGGACGCGAGUGGCUUCGGAGCCGCUCGCGGCGCCGACGUCUGCCACAGCAGCUUGAAGAGGUUCUUCCGCCGGCGAGAUAGCCAAGGCCGGCCACGGACCGACCUCCAACUCUACGGCCUUCUGCCCGUCCUUGCCUCACAAGUUUGGGCAUGGGCGGGGGCCUCCUGGCAGCAGCAUCCGCCCUGAGGUCAGUGCUGCCGCUGUUCGGCCCCCCGGAGCAGAAGUCGUCGUCGUCGCCGCUGCUGGAGCGGGUGACGGCGCGCCGUUCGUCGGUCUUCUGUUGCUCCGCAGGCCCACCCCUAUCGAGUGGGGUUGUUCGUACCUGCGGAGGGGGAACCGGAGUUCCGUUUGUAAUGGCACUUUGAAUGCCAGUGUUUUUGUUCAUCGUGGUUGUCGAGGCCUGAACAUGUAUGUAAUUUUGGCACGGAGCCGUGUUUUUUCCUCAUUUUCGAGCACUAAGACUCGCCUGUUAAUUAUCUGAACCGCUUCACCAAGCAUGAGUCGCCCUGUGUCAAGGUGACGAGUGAGGUAUCCGUAUCCCGGAGGCGUAGGAGUCCCUCGGCUCGGUCGGCCUUGUUGUCUGAGGCUCCUCUAGCUUAGUUAAAGGGACCCCUUGGCCGCUCUUCGACGAGCCGAGGCCAGGGGUAGCGAUAUCAGCAUGAACAGAGGCGGAGUUGGCUCGAAAAUGAAACCUGGUUGGCCGGAGCCUAGCCGGGUUAUCCGUUAGCGGGACCGACGCCGGAGUUGAUCAGCCGAGGCCUCGGGUCGGGCUGGCGCCCUUGGAAGAUGGUUGGCCGAGGCCCCAGGGGUAACCGGCCGAGCCGCCUGCUCGGGCCGGAUUCCCGGAGAAGUCCCUGGCAGCGAUUGUCCGGGCGUGGCGAUGACGUCGUCCUCCAGAGUGAGGAUCCCUGGACCGCGUCGCCGUCCGAGGCUAGGUCGGACUUCGCUGAAGGUGUUGUCGAUGCCGAGGGUACCACUGCCCCCUUCCAGCGUCAAGACCCGAGCCUUCAGGAUCAGAGUGUCUUGUAGCGUGUGCCUUCUGCGGCCACCGAGGCCAGAAUACACACCCUCGCUGUGUUGUAAAGCUGCGUCUCCUUUCCUCUUGUUUCGAGUAUCUGGACUUUUUUGUCGGUAACAGGGAUGUUUGUGUGAGCGAGGGUUGCUUCUCGCGGAAGGUGAUGAGUGAGGUAUCCGUAUCCCGGAGGCGUGGGAGUCCCUCGGCUCGGUCGGCCUUGCCGCUUACGCGCACUUUCACCCGUCCAUGAGGCCCUGUCACCGACUCAGUCGAGAAGGCUCGAAGGAUCGCUUCGGCAGAAGAGCUUCCGAACGUGAAGACUUGUUCGGUCCGCGGAAUCACUUUACCCGAACGCGAGUUACUUAUCGCAGAAGGUGAUGAGUGAGGUAUCCGUAUCCCGGAGGCGUAGGAGUCCCUCGGCUCGGUCAGCCUUGGCUGCUUACGUGUACUCCGUCGUUUUCAGGAUCCACUUUUCGAAGUAGUCAGAAAGCACGAAAGAUAUUCUGGCAGAAGAGAUCUUUUUUUGAGGAAAAUUUCAACGCAGAGGGGGUUCCCCCCCUUUUAGCCCCCGAGGGAGGGUCGGGCUUUGCCGAGGCGAGGCCGACCCUUCCUUGAUGACUAAACUUUGCGUGGGUGCGAGGUAUAUGAACAACUUGAAAACAUCUUAAGGGUAGAAGCGACGUAGCUGUUGGAUGUUCCAAGCGUUGCCGUAGACCUCGCCUUGACUGUUGGCCAGCUUGUUGAGAGCACCUUGAGGGGGGUGAAUAGGUGAUCCUGCGAAACUUAAACUUAUAGCCACAAAAACUUGGUUAAUCGUUAGCACAAUAAUUGCCAAGUGGCAAGAGAGGAGCCAAGACACAAUAACCACAAGAAAUCAAUCACAGAGAUGACACGGUGGUUAUCCCGUGGUUCGGCCAAGUACAAAACUUGCCUACUCCACGUUGUGGCGUCCCAACGGAUGAGAGUUGCACUCAACUCCUCUCAAGUGAUCCAAUGAUCAACUUGAAUACCACAGUGUUCUUCUUUACUUUGAUCCUUUCCCGUUUGCGAGGAAUCUCCACAACUUAGAGUCUCUCGCCCUUACAAUUGAGUUUCACAAAGAAGCACGGAGUAAGGGAGGGAAGCAACACACACAAAUCCACAGCAAAAUGCGCACACACACGGCCAAGAAACGAGCUCAAAAGACUAUCUCAAAGUUCACACUAGAACGAGCUCGAAUCACUGAGAAUGACAAACGAAUGCGCAAAGACUGAGUGUGGAUGAUCAAGAAUGCUCUAAGGUUGCUUUGAUGUCUUCUCCAUGCGCCUAGGGGUCCCUUUUAUAGCCCCAAGGCAGCUAGGAGUCGUUGAGAGCAAAUCUGGAAGGCCAUCUUUGCCUUCUGUCGUCGGGCGCACCGGACAGUCCGGUGCACACCGGACACUGUCCGGUGCCCGAUUUAUUUCCAUAAACAGCGCAGCCGACCGUUGCCGACCGUUGCAGAUCUGGCACACCGGACAGUCCGGUGCACACCGGACAGUCCGGUGCCUCCUUCCGACCGUUGGCCAGACCACGUGUCGCGCGCAGAUUCCGCGGCCGACCGUUGGCUCACCGGACAGUCCGGUGCACACCGGACAGUCCGGUGAAUUUUAGCCAUACGCCGUCGGCAAAUUCCCGAGAGCGACGUCUUCAGGUCGAGGCAGCCUGUCGCACCGGACACUGUCCGGUGCACCACCGGACAGUCCGGUGCCCCAGACCGAAACAGCCUGUUGGCUGUACACAGCCAACAUUCUCCUUUUCUUCUUCUCUCUGUUUCUAACACUUAGACAAAUAUAUUAGUACACAAAACCAAUGUACUAAGGCUUAGAAACAUACCUUUACUUGUGAUUUGCACUUUGUUCAUCCAUGGGCAUAGAUUCACAUUUAAGCACUUGUGUUGGCACUUAAUCACCAAAAUACUUAGAAAUGGCCCAAAGGCACAUUUCCCUUUCAAUCUCCCCCUUUUUGGUGAUUUAUGCCAACACAACAUAAAGCAACUAGAACAAGUGCAAAAUCACUUCAAAUAGAACUCAAAUCUAUUUUGGUUCAUUUUUUUGGCAUAUAUGGAUCAUCCUUUGCCACCACUUGGUUUGUUUUUGCAAAUCAAACUCAAAUCUCUAUCUCUAAGUCAAACACACAUGUUGAAGCAUAAAGAGAGUCAUUCCAAAAGAGAUUGAUCAAAGAUUUCAAAAACUCCCCCUUUUUCCCUUAAUCACUACUUCUCCCCACAAGAAGCCAACUUUUGACAAAAGAGACAAUAAGAGAGUUUUGACAAAACAAAAAGCUCUAUUCUACUAUUUUCAAAAUCUCUCAAGUGGUAGCUGAUCCAUUUAUUGCUUUGGCCUUUAUUUUCUCCCCCUUUGUCAUCAAGCACCAAAACGGGAUCAACUUUGGCCCUAUAACCCCAUUGCCUCACCAAAAUCUUCAAUUAAGAGCAAAUGGCAAUAAGAGUUCAUGAGAUGGACUUGGAAUAAGUUACCCUCUCAUCGGAGUGCAGUGGAAGUCUUUCAUGGUCCAAGUCCACCUUUUCCCUUUCAAUUCUCCUUCGAGACUAAAUCAUGCAAACUCAAGCAUAUGGUUAGUCUCAAGGAGUCAAGUUGUAACACAACUCCCCCUAAACAUGUGCAUCACUUUGCAACGGACUUGUGAGGUCCAGGGAGUGUUUGUACAACUUGAGCACCAUAAUAAGCAACAAAAUGCAGAAUGAACAUGAUCAAGGGCAUUAACACAUGUAUGCUACAAUUCAAUCCAAGUUCCGCGAAUCUAAGACAUUUAGCUCACUACGCAGCCUGCAAAAGGUCUUCUCAUCUAGAGGCUUGGUAAAGAUAUCGGCUAGCUGGUUCUCGGUGCUAACAUGAAACACUUCGAUAUCCCCCUUUUGCUGGUGGUCUCUCAAAAAGUGAUGCCGGAUGUCUAUGUGCUUUGUGCGGCUGUGCUCAACAGGAUUUUCCGCCAUGCGGAUAGCACUCUCAUUAUCACAUAGGAGUGGGACUUUGCUCAGAUUGUAACCAAAGUCCCUGAGGGUUUGCCUCAUCCAAAGUAGUUGCGCGCAACACUGUCCUGCGGCAACAUACUCGGCCUCAGCGGUGGAUAGGGCAACGGAGGUUUGUUUCUUAGAGUUCCACGACACCAGGGACCUUCCUAAGAAUUGGCACGUCCCCGAUGUACUCUUCCUAUCGACCUUACAUCCAGCAUAGUCGGAGUCUGAGUAUCCAACCAAGUCAAAGGUAGACCCCUUUGGAUACCAGAGCCCGAAGCAAGGCGCAGCGACUAAAUAUCUAAGGAUUCGCUUCACCGCCACUAAGUGACAUUCCUUAGGAUCGGAUUGAAAUCUAGCACAUAUGCAUACGCUAAGCAUAAUAUCCGGUCUACUAGCACAUAAAUAAAGUAAUGACCCUAUCAUUGACCGGUAUGCUUUUUGAUCAACGGACUUACCUCCUUUGUUGAGGUCGGUGUGUCCGUCGGUCCCCAUCGGCGUCUUUGCGGGCUUGGCGUCCUUCAUUCCAAACCGCUUUAGCAGAUCUUGCGUGUACUUCGUUUGGGAGAUGAAGGUGCCGUCCUUGAGUUGCUUCACUUGGAACCCAAGGAAGUAGUUCAACUCGCCCAUCAUCGACAUCUCGAAUUUCUGCGUCAUCACCCUGCUAAACUCUUCACAAGACUUUUGGUUAGUAGAACCAAAUAUUAUGUCAUCGACAUAAAUUUGGCACACAAACAAAUCACCAUCACAUGUCUUUGUAAAAAGAGUUGGAUCGGCUUUCCCAACCUUGAAAGCAUUAACAAUUAGAAAGUCUCUAAGGCAUUCAUACCAUGCUCUUGGGGCUUGCUUAAGUCCAUAGAGCGCCUUAGAGAGCUUACACACAUGGUCGGGGUACCGAUCAUCCUCGAAGCCAGGGGGUUGCUCCACGUACACCUCCUCUUUGAUUGGCCCGUUGAGGAAGGCGCUCUUCACAUCCAUUUGGUACAGCCUGAAAGAAUGGUGAGCGGCAUAUGCUAGCAAGAUACGAAUUGAUUCUAGCCUAGCCACAGGAGCAAAAGUCUCCUCAAAGUCCAAACCUGCGACUUGGGCAUAACCUUUUGCCACAAGUCGAGCCUUGUUCCUCGUCACCACUCCGUGCUCGUCCUGUUUGUUGCGGAACACCCACUUGGUUCCCACAACAUUUUGCUUCGGACGAGGCACCAGUGUCCAAACUUCAUUCCUCUUGAAGUUGUUGAGCUCCUCCUGCAUGGCCAACACCCAGUCCGGAUCUAGCAAGGCCUCCUCUACCCUGAAAGGCUCAAUAGAAGAGACAAAGGAGUAAUGCUCACAGAAAUUAACUAAUCGAGAUCGAGUGGUUACUCCCUUGCUAAUGUCACCCAGUAUUUGGUCGACGGGAUGAUCCCUUUGAAUCAUCGCUCGAACUUGGGUUGGAGGUGCCGGUUGCGCUUCUUCCUCCAUCACAUGAUCAACUUGUGCUCCCCCUUGAUCACACGCCUCCACUUGAGGUACCUGUUCGUCAUCUUGGGUUGGGGGAUGCACCAUGGGUGAGGAAAAAGGUUGAUCUCGUUCCAAGUGUUCCUGUGGUCGCACAUCACCAAUCGCCAUGGUGCGCAUAGCGGCCGUUGGAACAUCUUCUUCAUCUACAUCAUCAAGAUCAACAACUUGCUCUCUUGGAGAGCCAUUAGUCUCAUCAAAUACAACGUCGCUAGAGACUUCAACCAAACCCGAUGAUUUGUUGAAGACUCUAUACGCCUUUGUAUUUGAGUCAUAACCUAACAAAAACCCUUCUACAGCUUUGGGAGCAAACUUAGAAUUUCUACCCUUCUUCACUAGAAUGUAGCACUUGCUCCCAAAUACACGAAAGUAAGAUACAUUGGGUUUGUUACCGGUUAGUAGCUCAUACGACGUCUUCUUGAGGAGGCGAUGAAGGUAGACCCUGUUGAUGGCGUGGCAAGCCGUAUUCACGGCUUCCGUCCAAAAGCACUCGGGGGUCUUGAACUCUCCUAGCAUCGUCCUCGCCAUGUCGAUGAGCGUCCUGUUCUUCCUCUCUACCACACCAUUUUGCUGUGGUGUGUAGGGAGCGGAGAACUCGUGCUUGAUCCCUUCCUCCUCAAGGAAUUCCUCCACUUGAAGGUUCUUGAACUCGGACCCGUUGUCGCUCCUUAUCUUCUUCACCUUGAGCUCAAACUCAUUUUGAGCCCUCCUGAGGAAGCGCUUGAGGGUCCCUUGGGUUUCAGACUUAUCCUGCAAAAAGAACACCCAAGUGAAGCGGGAAAAAUCAUCUACAAUAACUAGACCAUACUUACUCCCUCCUAUGCUCAGAUAGGCGACGGGUCCGAAGAGGUCCAUAUGCAGCAGCUCCAGGGGUCUUGAAGUGGUCAUCACAUUCUUGCUGUGAUGCGCUCCUCCCACUUGUUUACCUGCUUGACAAGCUGCACAAGGUCUAUCUUUUUCGAAUUGAACGUUAGUCAGACCUAUCACGUGUUCUCCCUUUAGAAGCUUGUGAAGGUUCUUCAUCCCCACAUGUGCUAAGCGGCGAUGCCACAGCCAGCCCAUGCUAGUCUUAGCUAUUAAGCAUGCAUCUAGACCGACCUCUUCUUUUGCAAAAUCAACUAAAUAAAGUUUGCCGUCUAAUACACCUUUAAAAGCUAGUGAACCAUCACUUCUUCUAAAGACAGACACAUCUACAUUUGUAAAUAGACAAUUAUAUCCCAUAUUGCAUAAUUGACUGACCGAUAGCAAGUUAUAUCCUAGAGACUCUACUAAAAACACAUUAGAGAUAGAGUGCUCAUUAGAAAUUGCAAUUUUACCUAACCCUUUUACCUUGCCUUGAUUCCCAUCACCGAAUAUAAUUGAAUCUUGGGAAUCCUUAUUCUUGACGUAGGAGGUGAACAUCUUCUUCUCCCCCGUCAUAUGGUUUGUGCAUCCGCUGUCGAUAAUCCAGCUUGAACCCCCGGAUGCAUAAACCUGCAAGGCAAAUUUAGGCUUGGGUCUUAGGUACCCAACUCAUGUUGGGUCCUACAAGGUUAGCACAAAUAUCCUUAGGGACCCAAAUGCAAGUUUUGUCUUCCUUGCAUUUUGCCCCUAACUUCCUAGCAACAAUUUUCUUAUCCUUUCUACAAAUAGCAAAGGAAGCAUUUAAAGCACAAUAAAUUGUAGAAGGUUCAUUCACUACUUUCCUAGGAGCAUGAACAACAUUCUUUCUAGGCAUAGCAUUUUUCCUAGACAUAUUUCUAUCAUGCAUAAAGGAAGAACUAGAAGCAACCAUGACAUGAGCAUCAAAAUCAUCAUAAGCAUUAUAACCCCUAUAAGCACUUCUAUCAUGAUACAAAAAAGCAUGGUUCUUUUUAGUGCUACUAGCCAUAGGAGCCUUCCCUUUCUCCUUGGCGGAGAUAGGAGCAUUAUGGCUUGUCAAGUUCUUGACUUCUCUUUUGAAGCCAAGCCCAUCCUUAAUUGAGGGGUGUCUACCAACUGUGUAGGCAUCCCUAGCAAAUUUUAGUUUAUCAAAAUUACUCUUGCUAGUCUUAAGUUGAGCAUUAAGACUAGCUAAUUCAUCAUUCAAUUUUGAAAUAGAAACUAAGUGUUCGCUACAAGCAUUAAUAUCAAUAUCCUUACACCUAGUGCAAAUUUCAACAUAUUCAACACAAGAGUUGGAUUUAUUUGCUUCUACUAGUUUAGCAUUUAAAUCAUCGUUUAUGCUCUUUAAGUUAGAAAUAGAAUCAUGGCAUGUUGACACUUCACAAGCAAGCAUUUCAUUCCUCUUAAUUUCUAAUGCAAGGGAUUUUUGAGCCUCUACAAACUUAUCAUGUUCUUCAUAUAACAAAUCCUCUUGCUUUUCUAAAAGUAUAUUCUUUUCAUUCAAGGCAUCAAUUAAUUCAUUAAUUUUGUCUAUCUUAGAUCUAUCUAAGCCCUUGAACAAACAUGAAUAAUCUACUUCAUCCUCAUCACUAGAUUCGUCCUCACUUGAAGAAGCAUAGGUAGAGUUGCGAGUACAUACCUUCUUCUCCCUUGCCAUAAGGCAUGUGUGACGCUCGUUGGGGAAGAGGGUUGAUUUGUUGAAGGCGGUGGCGGCGAGUCCUUCAUUGUCGGAGUCGGAGGAGGAGCAGUCCGAGUCCCACUCUUUGCCUAGAUGCGCCUCGCCCUUGGCCUUCUUGUAAUGCUUCUUCUUUUCCCUCUUGUCCCCUUUUUCCUGGUCACUUUCAUUAUCGGGACAGUUAGCAAUGAAAUGACCGAUCUUACCACAUUUGAAGCAUGAGCGCUUCUCCUUUGUCUUGGUCUUGCUUGGCUGUCCCUUGCGACCUUUAAGCGUCGUCUUGAAGCGCUUAAUGAUGAGGGCCAUCUCCUCAUUAUUUAGCCCGGCCGCCUCAACUUGCGCCACCUUGCUUGGUAGCGCCUCCUUGCUCCUUGUUGCCUUGAGAGCAAUGGGUUGUGGUUUGUUGAUCGGUCCAUCCAAGGCGUCAUCCACGUACCUUGCCUCCUUGAUCAUCAUUCGCCCGCUGACGAAUUUUCCUAAGACUUCUUCGGGCGACAUUUUGGUGUACCUGGGAUUCUCACGAAUAUUAUUCACCAAAUGAGGAUCAAGAACGGUAAAGGACCUUAGCAUUAGUCGGACGACGUCGUGGUCCGUCCAUCGCGUGCUUCCGUAGCUCCUUAUUUUGUUGAUAAGGGUCUUGAGCCGGUUGUAUGUUUGAGUUGGCUCCUCGCCCAUUAUCAUCGCGAACCGUCCAAGCUCGCCCUCCACCAACUCCAUUUUGGUGAGCAAGGUAGCGUCAUUUCCCUCAUGAGAGAUCUUGAGGGUAUCCCAGAUUUGCUUGGCGUUAUCCAAGCCACUCACUUUGUUAUAUUCAUCCCUGCACAAUGAAGCUAGAAGAACAGUAGUAGCUUGUGCAUUCUUAUGGAUUUGCUCAUUAAUGAAUAUAGGACUAUCCGAACUAUUAAAGUGCAUUCCACUAUCUACAAUCUCCCAUAUACUAGGAUGGAGAGAAAAUAGGUGGCUACGCAUUUUGUGGCUCCAAAAUCCGUAGUCCUCCCCAUCAAAGUGUGGGGGCUUGCCGAGUGGAAUGGAAAGCAAAUGUGAAUUUGAACUUUGCGGAAUACGAGAGUAGUCAAAGGAAAAGUUAGAAUUAACCGGUUUCCUUUGCUCGUAGUCGUUGUGGUCGUCGUCCUUUUGGGAAGAGGAAGAUUCGUCGCUGUCGUCGUAGUAGACGAUCUCCUUGAUGCGCCUUGUCUUCUUCUUCUUCCCUUCCUUCCGUCUAUGGCCCGAGCCGGAGUCGGUAGUCUUGUCUUCUUUGGGCUCGUUGACAAAGGAUUCCUUCUCCUUGUCGUUGAUCACGAUUCCCUUCCCCUUAGGAUCCAUCUCUUCGGGCGGUUAGUCCCUUUCUUGAAGAGAACGGCUCUGAUACCAAUUGAGAGCACCUAGAGGGGGGGGUGAAUAGGUGAUCCUACGAAACUUAAACUUAUAGCCACAAAAACUUGGUUAAUCGUUAGCACAAUAAUUGCCAAGUGGCUAGAGAGGAGCCAAGACACAAUAACCACAAGAAAUCAAUCACAGAGAUGACACGGUGGUUAUCCCGUGGUUCGGCCAAGUACAAAACUUGCCUACUCCACGUUGUGGCGUCCCAACGGACGAGAGUUGCACUCAACUCCUCUCAAGUGAUCCAAUGAUCAACUUGAAUACCACGGUGUUCUUCUUUACUUUGAUCCUUUCCCGUUUGUGAGGAAUCUCCACAACUUGGAGUCUCUCGCCCUUACAAUUGAGUUUCACAAAGAAGCACGGAGUAAGGGAGGGAAGCAACACACACAAAUCCACAGCAAAAUGCGCACACACACGGCCAAGAAACGAGCUCAAAAGACUAUCUCAAAGUUCACACUAGAACGAGCUCGAAUCACUGAGAAUGACAAACGAAUGCGCAAAGACUGAGUGUGGAUGAUCAAGAAUGCUCUAAGGUUGCUUUGAUGUCUUCUCCAUGCGCCUAGGGGUCCCUUUUAUAGCCCCAAGGCAGCUAGGAGCCGUUGAGAGCAAAUCUGGAAGGCCAUCCUUGCCUUCUGUCGUCGGGCGCACCGGACAGUCCGGUGCACACCGGACACUGUCCGGUGCCCGAUUUAUUUCCAUAAACAGCGCAGCCGACCGUUGCCGACCGUUGCAGAUCUGGCGCACCGGACAGUCCGGUGCACACCGGACAGUCCGGUGCCUCCUUCCGACCGUUGGCCAGACCACGUGUCGCGCGCAGAUUCCGCGGCCGACCGUUGGCUCACCGGACAGUCCGGUGCACACCGGACAGUCCGGUGAAUUUUAGCCGUACGCCGUCGGCAAAUUCCCGAGAGCGGCGUCUUCAGGUCGAGGCAGCCUGUCGCACCGGACACUGUCCGGUGCACCACCGGACAGUCCGGUGCCCCAGACCGAAACAGCCUGUUGGCUGUACACAGCCAACAUUCUCCUUUUCUUCUUCUCUCUGUUUCUAACACUUAGACAAAUAUAUUAGUACACAAAACCAAUGCACUAAGGCUUAGAAACAUACCUUUACUUGUGAUUUGCACUUUGUUCAUCCAUGGGCAUAGAUUCACAUUUAAGCACUUGUGUUGGCACUUAAUCACCAAAAUACUUAGAAAUGGCCCAAAGGCACAUUUCCCUUUCACUUGUACGUUCCGGGCUUCAGCACUUUGGCGAUGACGAAUGGCCCCUCCCAGGGGGGCGUGAGCUUGUGCCUCCCUCGGGCGUCCUGCCGCAGCCGAAGCACCAGGUCGCCCACCUGGAGGUCUCGGGGUCGGACCCCUCGGGCGUGGUAGCGUCGCAGGGACUGCUGGUACCGCGCCGAGUGUAGUAAGGUCUUGUCCCGAGCCUCUUCCAGCUGGUCCAGCGAGUCUUCUCGGCUAGCUUGGUUGCUUUGAUCGCUGUAGGCCCUCGUCCUCGGGGAGCCGUAUUCCAGGUCAGUGGGUAGGACGGCCUCGGCCCCGUAGACCAGGAAGAACGACGUGAAACCCGUGGCUCGGCUCGGCGUUGUCCUCAGGCUCCAGACCACCGAGGGGAGUUCCUUCAUCCAUCGCUUGCCGAACUUGUUGAGGUCGUUGUAAAUCCGAGGCUUCAGCCCUUGUAGAAUCAUGCCAUUGGCACGCUCUACUUGCCCAUUCAACAUGGGAUGAGCCACGGCGGCCCAGUCCACCCGGAUGUGGUGAUCCUCGCAGAAGUCCAAGAAUUUUCUGCCGGUGAACUGGGUACCGUUGUCGGUGAUGAUGGAGUUCGGGACCCCGAAGCGACGGAUGAUGUUGGUGAAGAACGUCACCGCCUGCUCGGACCUGAUGCUGUUCAGAGGUCGGACCUCGACCCACUUGGAGAAUUUGUCGAUGGCGACCAGCAGGUGCGUGUAGCCCCGGGCGCCUUCUGCAAGGGGCCGACGAGGUCCAGACCCCACACAGCAAAGGGCCAGGUGAUGGGUAUCGUCUGCAGAGCCUGAGCGGGCAGGUGGGUCUGCUUCGCAUAGAAUUGACACCCUUCACAGGUGCGGACAAUUCUAGUGGCGUCAGCCACCGCCGUUGGCCAGUAGAAGCCUUGCCGGAAAGCAUUCCCGACAAGGGCUCGAUGCGCUGCGUGAUGGCCGCAAGCCCCCGAGUGCAUCUCUUGCAGGAGUUCCUGACCUUCGGCGACGGAGAUGCAUCGCUGGAGGAUGCCCGAGGGGCUGCGGUGGUAGAGCUCCUUCUCAUCGCCCAGCAAGACGAACGACUUGGCACGUCGCGCUACCCGCCGAGCCUCGGCUCGGUCGAGGGGUAGCUCUCCUUGGCGGAGAUAUUGCAGGUAUGGGGUCUGCCAAUUUCGAUCAGGCGUGGCCCCGCUCCGCUCCUCCUCGAUGUGCAGUGCCUCGCCCUCGAAGGCCGAGGUUACCUCGGGCUGAACCGAGGGCGCCUUGGGCCGAGCUGAGGGUGCCUCGGGCUGUGCCGAGGGUACCUCGGGCUGGACCGAGGGCGCCUCAGGCUCGGGCGAGUCGUCGAUCUUGACGGAGGGUUGAUGCAGAUCCCGGGAGAAGACGUCCGGGGGAACCGUUGUUCGCCCCGAGGCUAUUCUUGCCAGCUCGUCCGCAGUCUCGUUGUAGCGCCGAGCGAUGUGGUUAAGCUCGAGCCCAUAGAACUUGUCUUCCAGGCGCCGAACCUCAUCGCAGUAGGCCUCCAUCUUCGGGUCGCGGCAGUGGGAGUUCUUCAUGUCGAUGACGAGCUGCGAGUCACCGCGGGCGUCGAGGCGCCUGACACCUAGCUCGAUGGCGAUCCGCAACCCGUUGACCAGAGCCUCGUACUCAGCCACAUUGUUGGACGUCGGGAAAUGGAGGCGUAGCACAUAGCGUAGGUGUUUCCCGAGGGGCGAGAUGAAGAGUAGGCCCGCGCCGGCUCCCGUCUUCAUCAGCGACCCGUCGAAAAACAUGGUCCAAAGCUCCGGUUGGAUCGGAGCCGUCGGUAGCUGGGUGUCGACCCAUUCGGCUACGAAGUCCACCAAUACCUGGGACUUGAUGGCCUUCCGAGGGGCGAACGAGAUUGUCUCGCCCAUGAUUUCCACCGCCCACUUUGCAAUCCUGCCCGAGGCCUCUCGGCACUGGAUGAUCUCCCCCAGGGGGAAGGAUGACACCACAGUUACCGGAUGAGACUCGAAGUAGUGUCGCAACUUCCGUCUCGUCAGCAUCACUGCAUACAGCAGCUUCUGAACUUGUGGGUAGCGGAUCUUGGUUUCGGACAGUACCUCGCUGACGAAGUAAACUGGCCUCUGAACGGGCAAUGCAUGCCCUUCUUCUUGCCUCUCGACCACAAUCGCGGCGCUAACCACCUGAGUGGUCGCGGCGACGUAGACCAAGAGGGCUUCUCCAUCAGUUGGAGGCACCAAGAUAUGCGCCUUUGUGAGGAGCGCCUUCAGGCUCCCGAGGGCUUCCUCGGCCUCAGGGGUCCAAGCGAAACACUCGGCCUUCCUUAAGAGGCGGUACAGAGGCAGACCUCUUUCGCCGAGGCGUGAGAUGAAGCGGCUCAGGGCCGCGAGACAUCCCAUGACCCUCUGUAUGCCUUUUAAGUCCUUGAUGGGCCCCAUGCUGGUGAUGGCUGCAAUCUUCUCCGGGUUGGCUUCGAUGCCCCGCUCGGAGACGAUGAACCCCAAGAGCAUGCCCCGGGGCACCCCGAAGACACACUUCUCGGGAUUGAGCUUGACGCCUUUCGCUUUGAGACAUCGGAAUGUCACUUCAAGGUCGGAGAGGAGGUCGGAAGCUUUCCUCGUCUUGACUACGAUGUCAUCGACGUAGGCUUCGACCGUGCGACCGAUGUGUUCGCCGAACACAUGGUUCAUGCACCGCUGGUACGUCGCGCCCGCAUUCCUCAAACCGAACGGCAUGGUGACAUAGCAGUACAUGCCGAAGGGCGUGAUGAAAGAAGUCACGAGCUGGUCGGACUCUUUCAUCCUGAUUUGGUAAUACCCUGAGUAGGCGUCGAGGAAAGACAGGGUUUCGCACCCAGCAGUGGAAUCCACGAUUUGAUCGAUGCGAGGCAGAGGGUAGGGAACCUUCGGACAUGCUUUGUUGAGACCAGUGUAGUCUACACACAUCCGCCAUUUCCCCCCUUUCUUUCUCACAAGCACAGGGUUGGCAAGCCAUUCGGGAUGGAAUACCUCUUUGAUGAACCCGGCUGCCGUUAGCUUGUGGAUCUCCUCGCCUAUCGCUCUGCGCUUCUCCUCGUCGAAUCGGCGCAGAGGCUGCUUGACGGGUCGGGCUCCGGCCCGAAUAUCCAGCGAGGGCUCGGCGACAUCCCUUGGUAUGCCGGGCAUGUCCGAGGGACUCCACGCGAAGACGUCGGCGUUUGCGCGGAGAAAGUCGACGAGCACUGCUUCCUAUUUGGGGUCGAGCCCGGAACCGAUCCGGAUCUGCUUGGAGGCGUCGCCACUGGGGUCGAGGGGGACGGCCUUAACCGUCUCCACUGGCUCGAAGUUGCCGGCAUGACGCUUCACGUCUGGCACCUCUUUGGAGAGGCUUUCCAGGUCGGCAAUGAGGGCCUCGGACUCGGCGAGGGCCUCGGCGUACUCCACGCACUCCACGUCGCAUUCGAAUGCGUGUUUGUACGUGGGGCCGACGGUGAUGACCCCGUUGGGGCCCGACAUCUUGAGCUUCAGGUAGGUGUAGUUGGGGACGGCCAUAAACUUCACGUAGCAUGGCCUCCCCAGUACCGCGUGGUAGGUUCCUCGGAACCCGACCACCUCGAACGUCAGAGUCUCCCUUCGGAAGUUGGAGGGCGUUCCGAAGCAGACGGGAAGGUCGAGUCGUCCGAGGGGCUGGACGCGCUUCCCGGGAAUGAUCCCGUGGAAGGGCGCAGCGCCUGCUCGGACGGAGGACAGAUCGACGCGCAGGAGCCUGAGGGUCUCGGCAUAGAUGAUGUUGAGGCUGCUGCCCCCGUCCAUAAGGACCUUGGUGAGCCUGACGUCGCCGACGACGGGGUCGACGACGAGCGGGUAUUUCCCCGGGCUCGGCACGUGGUCGGGGUGGUCAGCUUGGUCGAAGGUGAUGGGCUCGUCGGACCAGUCUAGGUAGACUGGCGCCGCCACCUUCACCGAGCAGACCUCCCGGCGCUCUCGCUUGCGAUGCCGAGCCGAGGGAUUCGCCGCAUGCCCACUGUAGAUCAUGAAGCAGUCGCGGACCUCAUGGAACUCUCCUGCUUGGUGAUCUUCCUUCUUGUCGUCGUCGCGGGCCCUGCCACCCUCCGCGGGUGGCCCGGCCCUGUGGAAGUGGCGCCGGAGCAUGACGCACUCCUCAAGGGUGUGCUUGACGGGCCCCUGAUGAUAGGGGCACAGAUCCUUGAGCAUCUUGUCGAAGAGGUUGGCACCUCUGGGGGGCUUCCGAGGGUUUUUGUACUCGGCGGCGGCGACAAGGUCCGCGUCGGCGGCGUCGCGUUUCGCUUGCGACUUCUUCUUGCCUUUCUUCUUGGCGCCGCGCGGAGUUGACGCCUCGGGAGCCUCUUCCGAUGGGCGGCCCUGGGGCUGCUUGUCCUUUCGGAAGAUAGCCUCGACCGCCUCCUGGCCAGAGGCAAACUUGGUGGCGAUGUCCAUCAGCUCGCUCGCCCUGGUGGGGGUCUUGCGACCCAACUUACUCACCAGGUCGCGGCAGGUGGUACCGGCAAGGAACGCGCCGAUGACAUCCGAGUCGGUGAUGUUGGGCAGCUCGGUGCGCUGCUUCGAGAAUCGCCGGAUGUAGUCCCGGAGAGACUCUCCCGGCUGCUGCCGGCAGCUUCGGAGGUCCCAGGAAUUCCCAGGGCGCGCGUACGUGCCCUGGAAAUUGCCGGCGAAGGCUUGGACCAGGUCAUCCCAGUUGGAGAUCUGCCCCGGAGGCAGGUGCUCCAACCAGGCGCGAGCGGUGUCGGAGAGGAACAGGGGGAGGUUGCGGAUGAUGAGGUUGUCGUCGUCCGUUCCACCCAGUUGGCAGGCCAGGCGGUAGUCCGCGAGCCACAGUUCCGGUCUCGUUUCCCCCGAGUACUUUGUGAUAGUAGUCGGGGGUCGGAACCGGGUCGGGAACGGUGCCCGUCGGAUGGCCUGGCUGAAGGCCUGCGGACCAGGUGGUUCGGGCGAGGGACUCCGAUCCUCCCCGCUGUCGUAGCGUCCCCCACGCCUGGGGUGGUAACCUCGGCGCACCCUCUCGUCGAGGUGGGCCCGACGGUCGCGAUGAUGGUGCUCGUUGCCAAGGUGACCCGGGGCCGCGGGCGCGGUGUUGCGCGUGCGCCCGGUGUAGACCGAGGCUUCCCGCAUGAAUCGGGAAGUCGCGGCAUGAGGUUCCGAGGGGUAUCCCUGCCUUCGGGAGGCAGAGCUCUCGGCCCGUCGGACCACAGCGCCUUCCAGGAGAUUCUUGAGCUCUCCCUGGAUUCGCCGACCCUCGGUGGUUGAUGGCUCCGGCAUCGCGCGGAGAAGCAUCGCUGCUGCAGCCAGGUUAUGACCGACCCCACUGGAUGCGGAUGGCGGCCUGACCCUGACGUCGUCGGCGACGCGGUGCUGGAGACCCUGGGGCAGGUGACGUAUUUCUCCGGCCGGGGGUUGGCCCGCCCAUGCCUGCCCGACGUCCCGGCGGAUCGGCUCAAGCGCUCCUGCUCCCUCGUCGAGCCUGGCCUGUGCCCCUCGGACUUGCUCGAGCUGUGGGUCGUGACCCCCCGCCAGAACGGGGACCACAGCUAGCUCCCGUGGGAUGUCAGCGCGAGGCACCGGCCUAGGGAGAUCACCGUCCUCCGGCAUGCCGAGAUGAUUGCCUUCAGAGGGAUCCCCUAGCUCGACGUGGAAACAUUCGCGGCUUGGGCCGCAGUCCUCGUCGUCGAGGCUGCGGCUACCGUCGGAACAGUCGGAGAGGCAGUAGUCACAUGCGGUCAUGAAGUCCCGCAUGGCACUGGGGUUGCCGAAUCCAUAGAAAUCCCAACAGAUGUUGAGGUCGUCAUCUUCCUCGGACCCAGAGGGCCCGUAGGUCGAGACGUCCGUCAGCCGGUCCCAAGGCGACCGCAUGCGAAACCCCAGAGGGGUUGUACUCGCCUCUACGAGAGCGCCCGCCAAAGCAAGGUCGCUAGGCGGGUUGAGGCUGAGUCCAAAUGACGUAGGAUGGGAAUCGGUCGGUACCUUUCGGUCGACGAGCAGUGACAUAGUCACGUCGGGGACUGAUUGCACCGUCGUCUCAGGUACGAGGGCGACGUCCUCCAAGCUCUCCGCGAGCGCACUGGCGUCGUCCGCUUGCUCGAGAUUGGCGUGUCGCGGGGAGACGGCGCUCGCCUUCGUCUCAAACGCGAGGUCGACGCCCGACGCGCCCCCCGUUGGGGCGCUGGGGACGUCGACUCGCUCGACAGCCGACGAGGCGCGGCCUCCCGCUUGGCCUUGGUUGCCCCGCCUCCUCCUCCGUUGGCGGGGGAGAGGACGGGGCGAGCUCGAAUGUUGUUCUUCUACCACGCGGGGAAGACAUCGUCGAUUCCGCCGCCGGCGGGCGGGCUGUCGGCCGUCAUUGUCGUUGUCGCGCGGCGGUGGAAGGAGUAUCAUGUCGUAGCUGCCGUCGAAGGACAUGAACUCAAGACUCCCGAAACGGAGCACCGUCCCGGGUCGGAGAGGUUGCUGGAGACUGCCCAUCUGGAGCUUGACGGGAAGCUGUUCGUCAACACGCAGCAGGCCCCUACCUGGCGCGCCAACUGUCGGCGUUUCGAGACCGGGGGGUCCCUAAGCCGACGAGUGAAUGUCGCCGCGUGCCCCAGCCCAGAUGGGUCGACGCGAGGCCGAGCGCGAAGGGGGGAAGUGAGGUGGCCGGAGAUGGGCGUGAGAGAGGUGGAAAUCCCGCGGCCUUCGUGUUCGUCCCGCGCCCAGGUCGGGUGCGCUUGCAGUAGGGGGUUACAAGCGUCCACGCAGGGGAGGGAGCGAGCGGCCUCACGCGAGCGCCUGUCUCGUCCUCGUCCCCGCGCGGCCAACCCUCUCUAAGAGGGCCCUGGUCCUUCCUUUUAUAGGCGUAAGGAGAGGAUCCAAGUGUACAAUGGGGGUGUAGCGGAGUGCUACGUGUCUAGCGGGGGAGAGCUAGCGCCCUAAGUACAUGCCGAUGUGGCAGCCGGAGAGAUUUUGGCACCCAGCUGGUGUGAUGUCGUGGCCGUCGGAGGAGCGACGGAGCCUGGCGGAGGGACAGCUGUCGGAGCGGUUGAGUCCUUGCUGACGUCCUCCUGCUUCCGUAAGAGAGCUGAGAGCCGCCGUCGUCACAGAGCAUGCGGGGCGCCAUCAUUGCCUAUCUGGCGGAGCUAGCCAGAUGAGACACCGGUCUUGUUCUCUGCGGCCCGAGUCAGCUCGGGGUAGGGUGAUGAUGGCGCUUCCUGUUGACGUGGCUGGCCUGCGCCCUAGGUUGGGCGAUGUGGAGGCUCCUCCGAAGCCGAGGUCGAGUCUGUCUUCCAUGGCCGAGGCCGAGGCCGAGCUCCUGGGUCGGGCGAGGCGGGGGUCGUCGGCAGAGGCUAGGGCGGAGUCCGAGCCCUGGGGUCGGGCGAAGCGGAGUUCGUCGUCUUCCGGGACUGAGCCCGAGUCCGAGCCCUGGGUCGGGCAGAGCGGAGUUCGCCGUCUUCCGGGACUUAACCCGAGUCCGAGCCCUGGGUCGGGCGGAGCGGAGUUCGUCGUCUUCUGGGACUUAGCCCGAGUCCGAGCCCUGGGGUCGGGCGGAGCGGAGUUCGUCGUCUUCUGGGACUUAGCCCGAGUCCGAGCCCUGGGUCGGGCGGAGCGGAGUUCGCCGUCUUCCGGGACUUAGCCCGAGUCCGAGCCCUGGGUCGGGCGGAGCGGAGUUCGCCGUCUUCCGGGACUUAGCCCGAGUCCGAGCCCUGGGUCAGGCGAAGCAGAGCUUCCUAUGGUGCCUUUGGCAGGGCCUGACUGCCUGUCAGUCUCAUUCUGUCAAGUGGCACUGCAGUCGGAGUGGCGCAGGCGGCGCUGUCCUUCUGUCAGGCCGGUCAGUGGAGCGGUGAAGUGACGGCGGUCACUUCGGCUCUGCCGGGGGGCGCGCGUCAGGAUAAAGGUGUCAGGCCACCUUUGCGUUAAAUGCUCCUGCGAUUCGGUCGGUUGGUGCGGCGAUUUGGUCAGGGUUGCUUCUUAGCGAAGGCAGGGCCUCGGGCGAGCCGGAGAUGUGUCCGCCGUUGGAGGGGGGCCUCGGGCGAGACGGAAACCCUCUAGGGUCGGCUGCCCUUGUCCGAGGCUAGGCUCGGGCGAGGCAUGAUCGAGUCGCUCGAAUGGACUGAUCCCUGACUUAAUCGCACCCAUCAGGCCUUUGCAGCUUUAUGCUGAUGGGGGUUACCAGCUGAGAAUUAGGAGUCUUGAGGGUACCCCUAAUUAUGGUCCCCGACAGGAACUGACGGACACGUCGACCUCAACAAAGGAGGUAAGUCCGAUCAAAAAACAUACCGGUCUAUGAUAGGUUCCUUGCUUUACUUAUGUGCCAGUAGACCAGAUAUUAUGCUUAGUGUAUGCAUGUGUGCUAGAUUUCAAUCCGAUCCAAGGGAGUGUCACUUAGUGGCAGUGAAGCGAAUUCUUAGAUAUUUAGUCGCUACGCCUUGCUUCGGGAUCUGGUAUCCAAAGGGGUCUACCUUUGACUUAAUUGGAUAUUCAGACUCCGAUUAUGCUGGAUGUAAGGUUGAUAGGAAGAGUACAUCAGGGACGUGCCAAUUCUUAGGAAGGUCCCUGGUGUCUUGGAGUUCUAAGAAACAAACUUCUGUUGCCCUAUCCACCGCUGAGGCCGAGUAUGUUGUCGCAGGACAGUGUUGCGCGCAACUACUUUGGAUGAGGCAAACCCUCCGGGACUUUGGCUACAAUCUGAGCAAAGUCCCACUCCUAUGUGAUAAUGAGAGUGCUAUCCGCAUGGCGGAUAAUCCUAUUGAACACAGCCGCACAAAGCACAUAGACAUCCAGCAUCACUUUCUGAGAGACCACCAGCAAAAGGGAGAUAUCGAAGUGUUUUAUGUUAGCACCGAGAACCAGCUAGCCGAUAUCUUUACCAAGCCUCUAGAUGAGUCAACCUUUUGCAGGCUGCGUAGUGACCUAAAUGUCUUAGAUUCGCGUAACUUGGAUUGACUUAUAACAUACAUGUGUUUUAUGCCUUGAUCAUGUUCCUUAUGCAUUUUGUUUAUUUAUGGUGCUCAAGUUGUACAAGCACUCCCCGGACCUCACAAGUCCGUGUGCAAGUGAUGCACAUAUUUAGGGGGAGAUGUGCUACAACUUGACCCUUUGAGACUAACCAUGUGUUUGAGCUUGCUUGAUUUAGUCUCAAAGGUGGAUUGAAAGGGAAAGAUGGACUUGGACCAUGAAAGACUUCCACUGCUCUCCGAUGAGAGGGUAACUAACUCCAAGUUCAUUUACAUGCUCUUAUUGCCUCUUUACUCUAAGUUGAAGAUUUUGGUGAGGUAAUGGGGUUUAAGGGCCAAGAUUGAUCUCGUUUUGGUGCUUGAUGCCAAAACGGGGAGAAAAUAAGGCCAAAGCAAGAAAUGGAUCAGCUGCCACUUGAGAAUUUUGAAAAUAGUAGAGUUAGAGUUUUUGUUUUGUCAAAAACCUCUUAAUGUCUCUUCUUAUCAAAAGUUGGUCUCUUGUGGGGAGAAUGGUUGAUUAUGGGAAAAAGGGGGAGUUUUUGAAUCAUUGAUCAAUUUCUCUUGGAAUACCUUUCUCUAUGCCUCAACAAGUGAAUUUGACUUAGAGAUAGGAAAUUGAGUUUGAUUUGCAAAAACAAACCAAGUGGUGGCAAAGGAUGAUCCAAAUAUGCCAAAUUUGAAUCAAAACAAAUUUGUGUUCUCAUUUGCAUUGAUGUUGCACUUCUAUAUGUUGCUUUUUGUUGUGUUGGCAUAAAUCACCAAAAAGGGGGAGAUUGAAAGGGAAAUGUGCCCUUGGGCCAUUUCUAAGGAUUUUGGUGAUUAAGUUCAACACAAAUGGUUUAAGUGUUAAACUGUGCCAAGUUGUGAAUGAAGUGCAAAUCAACACAAAGGUAUGAUUCUAGACUUAGUACAUUAGUUUUUAUGUACUAACAUAUUUGUCUAAGUGCUAGAAUCAGAGAAAAGACAAAAGGAAAAUGUCUUGGCUGAAGCAGCCAAGACUCUGCUCUGUCUGGGUGUACCGGACUGUCCGGUGGUGCACCGGACAGUGUCCGGUGCGCCAGGCUGGUGCUGGUCAACUGGCCGCUCUCGGGAACUCGAUGGCGGCGUACGGCUAUAAUUCACCAGACUGUCCGGUGGUGCACCGGACUGUCCGGUGAGCCAACGGUCGACCGCGCAAUCCGCUCGUGACGCGUGGCCGAGCCAACGGUCUGAUGGGAGCACCGGACUGUCCGGUGUGCACCGGACAGUGUCCGAUGCGCCAACGGCUCCAAAUCGUCAACGGUCGGCUGCGCAAGAAUAGGAAAGAAAUCUGCACCGGACAGUGUCCGGUGGUGCACCGGACUGUCCGGUGCACCAAUCGACAGAAGGCAAGAAUUGCCUUCCUGGAUUGCUCUCAACGGCUCCUAGCUGCCUUGGGGCUAUAAAAGGGGUCCCUAGGCGCAUGAAGGAGAACACCAAGCAUUCUUUGAUCAUCUCUUAGCACCAAGACAUCUCUCUAGCGCAUUUGAUUCGUUGUGAUAGCAAUUUGAGCUCCUCUUGAGUUGAGAACUCCGUGUGUGACCUUAGAGCUCAAGUUGUGACUUGUGUGCGUGUUUGUGCUCGUGCUUUGAGACUUGUGUGUGUUGCUCUUCCCACUCUUACAUCUGUGCUUCUUUGUGAUCAUCUCAUUGUAAGGGCGAGAGGCUCCAAGUUGUGGAGAUUCCUCGCAAACGGGAAAGAGUAAGGAAAGAAGAACACCGUGGUAUUCAAGUUGAUCAUUGGAUCACUUGAAAGGAGUUGAGUGCAACUCUCGUACAUUAGGACGCCACAACGUGGACUAGGCAAGUAUUGUACUUGGCCGAACCACGGGAUAAAUCCUUGUGUCUCUUGUGCUUGUUCUCACUGUGUCAAUUGUGGUUCACAAGAGCUCUCCUUAGCCACUUGAUUUCAUUGUGCUAACACUUAAUCAAGUUUGUGGCUUUAAGUUUCAAGUUUUUACAGGAUCACCUAUUCACCCCCCCUCUAGGUGCUCUCACUUGCGCGCAAACAUAAAUCUCUGGAUCUCUAUUGGUAGUGGCAGCGCCUUGUUCAUGCGAUGGAAUGUGAGAUGAUAUAGGGCAUGAGCACGUAGGUCUCGAGAAUUGUCCUGCAAUACAAGCAUAGCAUUAAUUAUACACGUAUAUAGCUAACAUGUACAACGAUGGCAACCGGAAGAUAAAUAUUUAGCAUAAUCACUUACUGGUUGAGUGUAAGAAGUGAUGACACCUGAAUUGUGAUCAUAAUACUUCAUGUAACUCAUUACAUAAAAGCCACAGUCGUUUGACCCUAUUCUCAUUGUUGGCAAUUUGAUGGCAUAUCCAUUGGAAAGUUACCAAAUUUGGGGAAGGAUGCAUUGGGGCAAACAUGUUGUAACACUUUGCUCAACCUACUCAUUAUAACCCUAGCCCAUGGGAAUUUCCUUCCACCUAAGGGCUUGUUCGGUUAGCUCUCAAUCCAUGUGGAUUGAGUGGGAUUGGAUGGGUUUGAAUCCCAAACAAGUCAAACUUCUUAAGAAUUUUUUCCAAUCCCAUCCAAUCCAUGUGUAUUGGGAAUAACCGAACAAAGCCUAAAUAGAUUGGGUCAUAAUGGUAGUCCUUCCAUGUGGUGCCACCGAGUUCUAUACCAUACGAAUUCGAAUCUAAAAUGUGUAUACACCGAUGUUGUAGGUUGAUUACAUACAGUGUCCAAUGUCCCCUACUAAGCAUAGGUACCAAUAUCUGUUGAUGAAAAAAUGUAAAUAAGUAACAUGUUGCUGUUACAAUGCCAUGAUGAGUAAAAAGUACAGUUAAUAUAAUAAUGAACCUUUGAAAAAAGAAUACUGAGGCUUACCGACUUGCAUUUAUCCAGAUUUACCAACGAAGGCAGUGUGUUAUGUAAGCAAUUUUGUAACACAUUUUGAUCAAACGACUGAGGAUUCUUACUAUGAUGUUCCUGCUCUUCAAAAUUUAGCAGAGCCUAGAAACAACAUAGAGAGUGUGUAAGUAUAUUCUGUGAAUAAUUACAAUAACUGUGAAGAAGAACAUACCCCAACAUUGACAUCAAGUAAUAAUCUAUUAGAAGUCAUAGUUCGACGAUGAUUUUUGGAAUCGUCACGAACACACUCAAUGAAGCACUGCAUGAAGACAUUCUCAAGACACUUCCCCUCUACGAAAGAUUCAUAAAUAUCGAGACAGUUUCCACUGUAUUCACCGUAAUCUAUGACAACCUUGUAUGAAGAAUAUAGUUAUAUAUUCAUAUUACAUACAUGAAACAAACUAAUAAAUACGGUCUUCGUAAUUUGUGUAACGUGUACCUGCUUUGGUCAAUGUCCUUGGAACAGAGUAAAUCUCACAGAGCACGAACGCAAUCAAGCUCUGUAAGGAGUGGAGCAGUUCCAGAAAGUGUUGUCCCUUUUAGUGUAUCAUCCUGAGAUGCAACAUGGUUAUAAGUGUUUGAACAUUAGAAUAAUUAGUUUAAUGGCAUAAAGUGCAUUAUAGAAGAUGUAUGUUAUUAUACUGACAUGAGGCAUUGGGGUCUGAUCAAAGACUGGUCCACUGUCAUUGUGUUCCAUUUCAUCUGUUGCCAUUUCACCUCUCUACACAAAGGUAUAUGAUUAGUAAAAUUAUGUAAUAUGUAUUGUACUCAUGUAAUCGUAAAAUGGAAUUAUAACAUGAGACAAGGAUUGCUAAACAAACAUUUUUUGCGGUGUCACGUCAAAUUUCGGCAAACGGGUGCAAGCUGGUGUGGGUUGAGGUGUGAUAUUUGUGUUCCUCAACAUGUUGUUUCGAACAUCAAAGCAGAAAUCCUGUUGACAAAUAGUGUGGUUCGUAUCCAGCUAAAAAGAAAUAUGCAAACAAUGUACGUAUGAUGCGUAAAAUAGCUCAUGGGGUCGGAUAUAUUACCUGAUGUCCUGUAUCAACGUCUGCUUCAUCAGGACAAGUCUCCAGUACUCUACGAACAUGCUGUUGUCUUUCAUAAAUUUCUUCAAACUGAGUACCACCCAGCUGGGUCUCAAGCUGCGAUGCUUGGGAUGAUAGAUCCGGUGUGGGUUGGGUGGCAUGGAUAGUGUGUCCUUAUACAAAAUUAUAUUGAAAAUAAUGUAUGUCAAAACUUGCAUUAUAGAUCAAAUGUUGCUGCAUAUACUAAAAAUAACAAAAUGUUGUUUGUUGUACAUAUAAGAAAAACCCUAUGCACAUGUAGUCUGUGUAAGGUUCUGAAUGUAUGAAAAGUGAUAAUUAUAUGACUGGCCUACUGAAUCAGCCGAAUUCCUCGAUUGUUGUGGCUCAUCUGUCUCGUUUUCUAAAUUAUCAGACUCGGCACGUAGUACCUCGUCGAUCAGCUCUAUAAAGUUGUCUGCUAUGUCAUAUUGCUUCUCAAUAAUUCUAUCAAUGCUGACUUUUAUGGCUAAGCAUGCCUUGUCAACAUCCAAGUCAUAUGCAACAAGUUUCUCUGUGAAUUUAGAUCGAUGACGAGGUGGGAGCUCGUUGAUCUUACUUGACAUCAUCUCCUUGAUCGAUGGAAGUUGGAUGUUAAAAGUGGGCCGAGGAGUAGGGGCAGGGAGCGGUGCAUCAAAAAUGUUGGUCCUGCACUUCAGCUGGUUGUUCAACAAAAAUAAUAAGAAUCCCUCACCACACUCAUAUUCCAUUUGUUCCAUAAAUCUUAAAUAGAUGUAUAUAAUACAACAAAAACUUGCCUCGGAUUGGCGAUCGAGCUUAGGUACAACUGAAUAGCAUGUCUCGGUCGAGCUUCGAAACUAAAAUAUAAAAUUUAAGUGAAAGUUGAACUGGACCAUGAGUUUGUAAUGCAAACAAUGGUACUCAAAACAAAGCACAUAUAUUUGACAUAAAAUUUGUCAUAAAAUACACUUGGUUAAAUAUGAAUAACUUACUUCACAAUAUCCGAAAGGUUCGGCCCCAUGGCGUGCCUUCCUCUUGUCGGCUUUAGUCAAAGCUUUUAUGAUAUUCUUAUCAAAGAAUUUUAUGCGAGGUGUACCAAGCUUAUUUUGAGGGGCUGAGGUUGCAUGCAGGUGAUCCAAGUAAUACAACUACAUAAAAAAUUUCAAUGUGCAAUGGAUGUGUAAGUAAACAUAACAAACAUCAUAAAACAUGUUAUAUCAUGCCCCACAAUGAGCAACCAAAAUUGCAAUAUAUGUACAUAAGAGAAACUCUAUACUUACAAGGACAACAAUUGAGCAUCCGUAUAUAGUCAUUGAGACGUUUGUGGUGCUUCAGUUAUGCCACUUGUUCGCGGCUUCACAAAGAUCAUUAAAAAUAAGCUGGCACCAAUCGGUCUCGUGGAAACGGUGCAUUUCUUCUGUCAGAAGCACUUCAUGGUUUGUUAUGCCCCAGCUAGCAGUUGGAAACAAAAGACGGUUGAAUAAGAUGAGGAAGAAACAUUUGAUGGUAAGGUCAUCAUCCUCGCCUUUCCUUAAAUGAUCAUGUAGCAAUGUCACAUUGAACUCGUCUUUAGCCAAACCAAGCUCUGCCCUCAAGUUGCUUGCUGCAACUGCUUCGUCAAUCCCCAAUGGUUUUCCACCGCCAUGAUUUGGUACACCAAGGAUAAGAUGCACAAUGUCCUUUGUGAUUUUUAGUUCCUUUCCUGGACCAGGACGAAUUGUCAUGUCCUUGUGGUCAAGCUUGUCCAUCAACCAUUGAAUGUGUGAUCUACUACACAGCGCAUCUACUGUCAUAUCAAGAAUGUUAGAGAAACCUUUACGUCUUAUGGCCUGACGUUGUCCUUCAUUCAAUAUGUUAAUGCUUGCAAUGACAUCUUAUGGGUUGCACCGGACAUUGAGCCUCUGUUAUAAAAUAUAGAACUGGAAACAAUUUUGUUAUUAUCAAAAACAAAAUAAUAUUCAGAAGCUUACGAAUAGGAAAUUGUUUGUUGAGUAUGCAUAAAACUAACCUGUCGGGGAAGAUCCUCAGCUUUUAUCCUCUUUGUCACAACUUUUCUUAGAACUCUUGUAUGGCUUUUAGAAACAUUACGCUUCUUAACAGCUGGCAUGAAGUCAUCUUCAUCAGAAUCCAGUUGUAUUGUUUCAUUGAAGUUUGACUGUCAACAUUUGGAGGAUUUCCCACUUCUGUAGAUGGAUUAGACUAUUCUGCGCACGGAAUGUCAACACUGAAACACUCCUGGCUUGAUUGAAUUGUUAUACGUUUGGGAUUAUUCGGAGGACGGUCCACGUGCUUCAUUUUUUAAAGUCAAAACUGUAUGCAUAAUACACAAUACUGUAAACAUUAAUCUGUUGAAUAUGCAGAUGUAUUGAUUGUGUGGUGAUUGAAUCAAUGAACCUAAUUGUUUUAAAUACCAAGCAUAAAAACAAUCUGUAAAAUUUUGCAUGGUACUUAUAAUAUGUUUCAGUAAACAUCUGAAUGUACUGUUCUCUAGUUACACUUGCAUACAUAUAAUGUCAUGUUCUAUCAUCAUAAACAUCUGAAUAUGUUUCAAUAAAAAUAGACCUUGUUGUAACCAAUAAUGUAUUAACUAUAAACAUCUGGAAUAAAUAAAUGUAUGCACUAAACAUAUAUGAAAUUUUGAAUAAAUCAUAUACUCUAUCAAAAACAAAUAAUUGACUGCUCCUUUACUAAAAACAGUUGCAUACAUGUUCUGUCCUGUUCUACAAUCAUAAAAAUCUGAAUAUGUUUCAAUAAAACAAAACUUGUUGUAAACAGUAAUGUAUUGACUAUAGACUAAUGAAUACAUAAAUUAAUGCAUAUCACUAACCAUAUAAGAAAUUCUGAAUAAAUAAUAUACUCUACCAAAAACAACUAAUUGACUGCUCCUUUACAAAAAUCACUUGCAUACAUGUUCUGCCCUGUUUUAUAAUCAUAACAAACUGAAUAUAUUUGAACAAAACAAAACUUACUGUAAACAUUAAUGUAUUAACUGUGAACUAAUGGAAUAAAUAAUGUCCUGUUUUAUAAUCAUAAAAAACUGGAUAUGAUUCAAUAAAACAAUACAUGUUGUAAACAAUAAUGUAUUAACUAUAAACUAAUGGAAUAAAUAAAUGUAUGCAGUCACUAAAAAUAUAUGAACUUUUGAAUGAAUCAUAUACUCUACAAAAAACAACUAGUUGACCGCUCCAUUACCACUUGAACAUCAUCUAUGUAAAAAAUAACUUUAACUGAGAUGCAUAAACAUGUAUUCUAAUGUGCGUAACCACCUGUGUAAAUGUGCGUAAAUGUAUUAAUGCAACUGCAUAAAUAUUUGUCACCUGCCGUAAUCAUUAGAAUGCAGUAUGAAAAAAACAACACAUUUGUACUUCAGGAGAUCGAUUUACCUUUUUAGGGUUUGCUAACUUUGUUGACGGUCGACGACGAUCCCAGGUAAUGCGGCAAGCUAGGGUUCGGAAGAACCCACCGUAGAUGGUUGGGGAAGGGCUACCCGUUGGAGCGGCACCCGUUGACGGCGGAGAAUGUGGAACGACGACGGAGAAUGUGGAAGCAGUCGCAUCGGCGGAGAAACUAGGGUUUUCUCCGGUCUGGUCUCUCAUCUCAAGUUGCAGACGCGAGGAAAGAGGAGCUCAGAUUGGGGUCGACAAGGAGGCGCCACUCUCUCACCGAUUGCGCCUGGAUCGACUGCGAGCGACGGAUGGAGCGGAGUCGUCGGAGAGGGCGGAGUCGGCGGAGAGACCUGGAGUCGCGCGGAGAGGGUUGGAGUUUUGCGGUGGGCCGGUGGUGUAGGCAGUUAUGGAAACUGAGACCGGGAGAAGAAAGAGGAGCUAGUGGCGGCAGCACGUCAUUAUAUAUGGAAUCUGAAAAGUCCGGUCGGCUGUCAGUGCACGUGCGUUCAUAUUUGGUUGGGGCUUCUUGUAGCUAAAUAGAGUCUAGGGCUCUAUAUAUAUAUAUAUAUAUAUAUAUAUAUAUAUAUAUAUAUAUAUAUAUAUAUAUAUAUAUAUAUAUAUAUAUAUAUAUAUAUAUAUAUAUAUAUAUGCACUUUUAUUAGAACUUGAGCGUAGAUUUCUAUUAGGAAUAGGACUGCUACUCGAAUGUAUUAGGCUUGUUCGGUUAGAGCAAUCCAAAAAGGGAUUAGAGAGAAUUAAAUUAUCUCUUAGUUAAAAUUGAAUAGAAAGGAAUUUAAUCCCUUCUGAUUCUCUUCUGAAUCAGCAUUGCAAGAACAGAUGGAUGUCGAUGUUUAUGGUAGCCUGCUCAGUCAGAAUAGCUUUGACGCCCGUGCGGACACGUUGCUGUUGAACAGCACAGCGGUUGAUCAACAUCAGCAGCAGCAGAUAGGUGCUGCAGAAGCGCCGUGCAAUCAGUUUGUGUGUAGGGUUUACAUUUUGUGUGUAGGGUUUACCACCAAAAAACCUUCAGUUUUGGUGCACUAAAAUACAAGGCCUUUCAUCUCUUACACCAGCAAGCACCUCAUCCGCCAACAACGAAUCCAAUUGGUACUAGAGAACAAGCAAUCACCUUUUAACUGGUAAUAGAGCAAGGAGAUGAACAAGUCCUCGAGCUCAAUCCAUAGUGUACAAAUGUAGCUCAUCAUCCGCCAACAACGAAUCUCCAGAAACACUCGGACUGUAGCAGACACGUUUUGACUGUACGUAGCAGAGAAUUAAGACCUAUUUUGACUGUAGUACACACAUAACUGGAACUGGUUCCAUGGUGAACUUGUCUGCCACACCAUCCACAAGCACAAGUGCAGGAAAAUGAACUAUCUUCUCUAUUGCAUUGGCUGGAGUAUUUAUACUAAUUGCCACAUGAAUGAUAUAGCAAUUGUGCACAUGAAAACAAAAGCCCUAGCCACAGUUAUCACUUCAUUCUGUCAGAGAAAUACAUAUUGGCAAUUGUGCACAACCAAGGAAUGAAUGAUAUAGCAACUGAAAUAGCGGAGCAAUACAAGCGGCAAAAACAGGGAACCGCGGGGACGGCAGCAUUAACGACGGAUUGGCUUCUGACUUGAGCCUGAAUUCUGGAGCUUCAAGAGAAGAGGGGUGACGUCAAGGUGCCUGUUUAGAACAUGAAAUGUUUUAAAUAUUGAGAAACUCAUCAAUUGUGCUGGAAAAAAUGAAUUAGUAGAACCUGUACCUUCUCAUUUAUUUCAAAGUGGCAACUCUAAGGAAGCCAGUGCGGUAUUUGUAGAAAGCUCUUCCAACGAACGUGCGAAAUCUUUGGCCAGCUUUCUCCAUCAGGUUCUUGGCAGUUCUUCUUCAAGACGGGACAAUCCCAUAUAGUUAUGCGCUGGAGGGAGGAUGGCAGAUCUGGUAAAGAUGCUAUGUUGGGGCAACGCCCUAUAUGAAGACUCUCCAGACUUGAGAGAGAUUUUAGAUUUCCUGGCAGGGACUCCGUUUCACAACGCAAAAACUGCAGGCACUUGACAGAUGACAGAUUUGCAGGAUCUUCAAACGAAAUCGACGGCUCCUUGCAAUCUAAAAGAUAAAGAUUCAGUGGGACCCUAAACCCUUCAGCCAUGAGCAUGUGGUUGAGCAAUACGGAGCUACUAACGGUGAGCGAUACCCGGACACGAAACUGUGAGAUGCACUUUGCAGUGAGGUUUGGAACGUCUACUAGUUGUAGGAACUUAAGGCGCAGGCAAGACAGGCCUUCAACAAGGUAAAGAUCGGAGAGACCAACUAGAUGUAAUGAUUGAAGCGAGGUCAUGUGGCCAAUCGACAAGGAUGGGGAGCUUCUGCAGCUAUCAAUGGAAAGGUAUUUAAGGUCCAGCAGGCCGUUAAUGAAUGAAUCAGCUGAAAGAAUGCAGCCACGGAUGUUGAGGUAUCUAUCAAGGUUCGACGGAACUAGUUCUGCUCCACGUGCUAGCUCUAAAGAAGGACAAUCCCAACAGUUAAUAAAGGAAAGAGAUGGAGCAGCACGUAGGCCACCCAGUGAUCUGAGACACAAACAACCACUUACAAACAACCUGUCAAGCUUUGCUAAAUGCUCAAACACUCCUUUUGUUGGAAGUGUAGUUAAUUCCAUAUUAUAUUUCAAUUCUAAAUUCCUCAGUGAAGUAAGGCCACCAAGGCAAAUAGCUAAAGCUUCAUUUGUAAUACUGCAUGAACAAAGAGAAAGACUACAGAGUCCUGACGGUAGAACUAGUGGCAUCUCCAUGGCCCUCCCAUAAAUGAAACUUAUCCUCUGCUCAUGGCAAAAGAGCCAUGGUUUGAUGAUGUUUUCUUUCAUCCAUACCUUUUCUCCUCCUUCCUCUAGACCACUUUCAAUGAUUUGGAGGUGCUUUGAUAUAUCAUCAUCCAUUAGUGUCAUAAUAAUCUGCUUCAGAGAUGAACAGUCCUCUGAUAGCGCUCUCCUAAUACAUGAACCUGAAUCCACAUCCCACAUCAAUGCAAGUUUUGAUGUCAGGUUGUCUAUCUUCAUUACAUUUUCCUCCAAGCCAUGUUGUCCUAGCUCAUUGUUGGUGAUAAACAUAAGCAGUGGACACUUGUGAAUUGACAACUCUGUAAGGCCUGCUGGAAGAUAAGAUAGUUCCUUCAAAUUUGGAACGUUUUUUAUAUGUAGCCUAGAGCAACGCCGAAGCAGCCUGGCAUCAGGUGGCAGACCUUCUAAUAAACUGCAAUUAUUAAGCUCAAAACAUUCCAAAUUCUUAAAAUAGGAUCGCUCAAGUAACCACCCAGGGUAUGUGUCAGAUUUGUAACCUUCGAUUGUGAGCUUACUCAGUUGGGGUGGUGGUCUUAGACCUUCUAGAAUAUCCAAGUGCAGGAUAUCUGUUGCAUUCUCGGAACUCCACUCAAGUGCCAACUCUUUAAGGCGACGUUUCAGAAAUAGCUUCGACUCUAAGGCUUCAUCCUUUCCAAUGACAUUCUCAAGAUUUUUUACUCUUAAACUGCCACCAAGCUCAUUCAAGUCCCUCAGCUGUCGCAACUCAUACCCUUGCUUCUUUUGCACAGAAAAGACAUAAAUGUGCUGUAGUGAAGUUAGCUUACCUAUGUUCGGAACUUGGUAAUUAGGCCUUUCAUCCACGAAACCAUGAAAGUAAUAUGGGUAUGCUCCUAGAUGUCGCAGCUUACUUAAAUUGCAAAGUUUGUCAGGCAAUCUCUCUACCAUGCAGUUCAACCAAAGUAAUUGUAAGUGGUAGAGAGUACAUAAUGAUCUAGGCAUUUGAGAAAUUAAUGUCCUGACAAGGUUCAAAUACCGGAGGUGCUUUAGCUCACCAAUAGAUUCCGGCAACUUGCUGCUGGUGUAAAAUGACAAAUACAAUACACGCAAUUUUCUUUGGUUGUGUAGCAUUUGAUCAAAAAGAUCACUUGCACCAUCCAUUAGUGGAUUGAUGCAGAUAAUGGUGCGUAAAUGAAGUAGCUUGCAGAUAAUUUUCUUAUGCUUUUGCAUACUCUCAACAUGAACAGAUAGAUAUCGAACAGUGCCUGGUAUUUUUGUAACAUUAUCAUCUUCCAAUCUGAAGCAGUCUUCCCUAGAGAGUGACUCUGCCAAAUCAUGAAGGAUAUCGUGCAUGGUAUAGUAUGAAUAAAGUCUUUCAGGAACCAAUUGGAAGAAAGAUCCAGAGACCAUCUCAGUGAAGUAAUCCAUCCCAACCUCUUCCAAUGUUCUCCUACUCAAAUUGCAUGAACAAACAAAUCCUUCUGCCACCCAAAGUUGAACCAACUCACCACGUCUAUAUCUAUGACCUUUUGGAAACAAGCUGCAAUACAAGAAGCACCUUUGCAGACAUGGAUCUAACUUCUCGUAGCUCCACAACAGAGAUGUCAAGGGAUCACUUAAAUCUCCAAGCUCUAGAGCAGCUUCCCAUUCAUCAAUAUCCUUUUUCCUACACAGCUGAGAACCAAGAACUUUCGCUGCCAAAGGACAUUGUCCAAGCCUUUUAGCAAGCUCCGCUGCAGUAUUUUCCAGAUUCGUGCGUAACAGCUGGUCUUUGAUUUUUGCUCCAGAGAAAGCAUGUUGUUUAAAGAGAGCCAAGAACUCAGUAUCAUCCAUGUUUUCCAAACGAACAACUCGUUCACAGCAAACAGCGGCUGGAAGCAUUUCACGUCGAGAAGUCACCAAAACUCUGCUUCCCGGCUGUUUAGAGACUAAUGGAGCAAGGAGUAGGUCCCACUCUGUCUCACUAUCAGAUUUUUCAAACCAAACAUCAUCCAAGACAAGCAGGAAUUUUUUUGACUGUUGUAGUAUGUCUCGUAGUUUGCACUGGAGAGUAUCGAGAUUAUCGACACGUGGGCACUCCCCCUUUUUUGCGGACUCAAUGAUCUCCCUUGUGUGACGAUGCACAUCAAGUUUGCGCGAGAUACAGAUCCACAUCCUGACAUCAAAGCAUUCUUCAAUCCUCUUGUCAUUAUAGACAUAUUGUGCUAAGGUAGACUUCCCCAUUCCUCCCAAUCCAACAGAAUGGAGCAUACCACCAAAAACCUUCAGUUUUGAUGCACUAAAAUACAAGGCCUUUUCAUCUCCUACACCAGCAAGCACACUUGUAAUCAAUCCAAUUGGUGACAAACAACAAGCAAUCACCUUUUAACUGGUAAUAGAGCAAGUAGAUGAACAAGUCCUCGAGCUCAAUCCAUAGUGUACAAAUGUAGCUCAUCAUCCGCCAACAACGAAUCUCCAGAAACACUCGGACUGUAGCAGACACGUUUUGACUGUACGUAGCAGAGAAUUACGACCUAUUUUGACUGUAGCACACACAUUACUGGAACUGGUUCCAUGGUGAACUUCUCUGCUACACCAUCCACAAGCACAAGUGCAGGAAAAUGAACUAUCUUCUCUAUUGCAUUGCCUGGAGUAUUUAUACUAAUUGCCACAUGAAUGAUAUAGCAAUUGUGCACAUGAAAACAAAAGCCCUGGCCACAGUUAUUACUUCAUUCUGUCAGAGAAAUACAUAUUGGCAAUUGUGCACAACCAAGGAAUGAAUGAUAUAGCAACUGAAAUAGCGGAGCAAUACAAGCGGCAAAAACAGGGAACCGCGGGGACGGCAGCAUUAACGACGGAUUGGCUUCUGACUUGAGCCUCAACUCUGGAGCUUCAAGAGAAGAGGGGUGACGUCAAGGUGCCUGUUUAGAACAUGAAAUGUUUUAAAUAUUGAGAAACUCAUCAAUUGUGCUGGAAAAAAUGAAUUAGUAGAACCUGUACCUUCUCAUUUAUUUCAAAGUGGCAACUCUAAGGAAGCCAGAUCGAUUUUGGUGGAAAGCUCUUCCAACGAACGUGCGAAAUCUUUGGCCAGCUUUCUCCAUCAGGUUCUUGGCAAUUCUUCAUCAAGACGGGGCAAUUCAAUAUAGUUAUGCGCUGGAGGGAGGACGGCAGAUCUGGUAAAGAUGCUAUGUUGGGGCAUUGUUCUAUAGAAAGACUCUCCAGACUUGAGACAGAUUUUAGAUUUCUAGGCAGGGACUCUGUUUCGCAACAUGAAAAGUGCAGGUGCUUGACGGAUGAGAGAUUUGCAGGUUCUUCAAAUGAAACUGACGGCUCCUUGCAAUCUAAAAGAGUAAGAUUUGGUGGGGCUGUAAACCCUUCAGCCAUUAGCAUGUGGUUGAGCAAUACAGAGCUACUAACCCUGAGCGAUUCCUGGACACGAAACUGUGAGAUGCACUUGGCAGUGAGGUUUGCAACAUCUACUAAACUUAGGCGCUUAAGGUGCAGGGAAGACAAGCCUUCAACAAAGCAAAGAUCAGGGAGACCAUUUAGACAUAAUGAUUCAAGGGAGGUCAGGUGGCCAAUCGAUAAGGAUGGGGAGCAUCUGCAGACAUCAAUGGAAAGAUGUUUCAGAUGUGGCAAGCCAUUAAUGAACGAAUCAGCUGCAAGAAUGCAGCCAAGGAUGCUG